AGACUUACAAAAUAACUUUUAACUUCUUAGAAAUUGAUUCAAACAACGCUUCAAUUGGGCUUAAUGAUGAAUUAAUUAAGCUUAUAUGACACAUUUAGGCAUCCUUUGUUAUAAAAGGAAAAGCUUCUGCUGAAGAAGCAUGUUCAUGGAACAAAUAUUUUGAGAGAUGAGCAUAAACGGAAAGGGAAAAUACAAGAGUUCUCCAACUUUAUUAGGUCAUGCUACACUUAUUUAUUUUAUUUUAUUUCAGCUUACUGGGGCACCAUUUCAAAUUACAAUAAACAUUACCAAAUAAGGCUGGGUGAAUAAACACCAACCCAAUGAGUCUAUCCGAUGGUAGGGACACUGAUUACGAUGCCGUUUUCGUCGACCCAAACACGGACCCUAGUGCAGUAAAAAUCUUGGGUAACGAUUGUUCCCUCUAACAAGAUGUCAACAGUAGUGAUAUGAGGAUUCUCCCUCUUAAUGGUUUCUGCAGCAACCUCUCCCUGAACUCCCACCAGCUCGGGCCAGGAACUCUUACCUGCAUAAGCUCAGAAAAUGAUUAGCAUAAGAGAUGCAGUGUUCCAACAGAAGCAAAUAUCAUAUGUUAAUGACAUGAACAAUAAUUCCUCAUUUACCUUCACAUUCAGAUGCCAUUCUUUUUCCUUCACACGACUAAUUAUGCCUGCUUCAACUUCUGAUUUAUUUGUGUUGUGAGAUGGGUAUUUAUAGAGUGUAUUUGGUAGCUUGUGGUUGGUCUUUAUUGACUUUCUUGCUUUUACGUUCAAACAUUGAUGUUCCUACGUGAAAUAAGUUUUUCGGAGACAGCCAAGUUAGCCAUGGCACAACGGCACGGUAGACAGACACGUCACAAGUUAUUGGUGCAACUGAGUGGUGGUAGCCUGCCAGGAUUUUUGAUAUGAACAAAUAACUUCAUUGAUUAUCGUAAAGCUUGAAGUUGAUUUUUUAUAUACGUAUUAAAUUACCCUUCAAAAGAAACCCUUUAUUUGACUUUUUAUAUACUAAAUAUAUUUGAAAAUAAGUUUUCAAACCCCAGGUUUUGAAACAUAUUUUUAAAAAUGCUACAUUUGUUAAAAAUCUCCUACCUGCCCUAACGGAAUUAUGGCCAAUCAGAUCAACAGCACUAAGGUCUGGAUAGAUUUUAGAGACAACUGCCUUUGACCCGUAAAACACGAACUUGAUAAUGGAUUUCAUCAGGGAUCGAAGCCAUUUUCUUUGACCAUUUCAGUGGCUGCUUAAUUGGUUUGGAGUAUGAAAACUUAAUAUAAAUUGCAAGGAUUGUUUAUACUCCAAGCAACCCUCUACCAUGGGAAGGUAGCUAGAUUUCUUUUCAAUCAUGAGAGGGUCAAAUUAAUUGGGCAAUAGAUUUGAAUGUACAAAUUGUAAGUAUCAAAUGAGUACUUACGUAACCAAAUAACAAGCUACCUUUUACACUAACAACCGUGAAAGUCAAUCUGCUUGCACCAUCUAAAUGUAUCUUGUCCUAGGCUUGGGUAACUACCAAGAAUUUGCAUGUACUGCACGGCAGCACUAGCCUAAAGCAAGGAGAAUGGGUAGGAGUUUGCUUUUCCCAAUUUGCUCCUGGCAACCUAUCUUUAUCUUAAUCUUACAUGGCUGUAAUCCUACCAGGAAAUGACUAGGUAAAAGAAAAGAAAACUGGCCUGCCAAAUGGCUGGCCUCAUUCUUCUACUCAGGAUAACUAAGCAUGAUUUAAUCCACACGCAUGGGUGAUGUGCGCCUGUACUCAAGACAACUCUUUCUAAAAGUAAAAAUAAUUAAUAUAUACUUAAGAAGAAGUCAUUAUUUUGUUCUUGUUUUCUAGUUUUUCACAAUAUUAUCCAGUACCUUAUUAAAACUUCAAGCUCCUAAGUUUUCCUCUGUGGAAAGCAGUUUAUAUGGAUUUUAAGUCACUGGUAUGCCAAUUGAAAAUCAAGGUAGCUGGAUGUUUCAUAAAGACAUAGAGCAACACUAGGUGGCUAUAGGAGAAGACAUAUCUAGAAAAGGUCUGCGACAAGCAACAACUUACAAUUUCAGCAAGAGCCACAAAUAUAUACAAUGUGAUUAACAUAAUGGAUCAGCUAACCACAUAUAUUUAAAUAUAAUAUGUCCAGUGUGGAACCAAAAAUUUUGAAAUCAAACAUUGCCAGGAUCACUUCGGAAAGCUGUGUGCUCGUGGAAACUUUUAGUACUUCAGAGAGAAUUUUCUAGGAAUGGAGAGAGUAUAUAUUUUGAAUAUAUAUUGUUACUUAGUACAUCUGAUCAGUAUAUACUUGCAAUUGGUCUUUUGCUUCAUUUAUAACAAGUUGUUCCUACCAAGAAAAGCAUUAACCUCCGAGUAAUAGAGGAUAUCAUGGUGCAUUUAUCGAGGGUAAAUUAAAGUUAUUUAAUGUUUUUAUUUAUAAAAUAGAUGGUUUAACUCAUUACUAACAUCUCAAUUAGCACAAUAUGUCGAGAGGUGGAAGAGUGUAUAUUUGUGUUGGAGUGCAUGUUCAUAAAAUAAUUGUCAAUCCUAGAUUAGACAGAGAUUGAAACUUUUUGCAAUUUAUAUGGUGCUUCACUUUCAUAACCUCUUGGGCUUAUAGGGAAGUUGAACCCAUGUGCCCACAAACCAUUCCUUGGGAUUUUGGGAUUAGUUGUCACUUAAUUAUUUUAGCCUUUUUUUUUGUUUGUCUUUGAACCUUUUUAGGAGAGUCCCAUUAGAACUAUGCUUACAAACACCACCCCCCCUUCCCCCUUGACCCCCAAUACACCAACCCCCCCUCCCCCCCUCCCCGGCUCUAGUGACUACUCCACUACUAUACUUGACCAUAACAUUCCUUGCAUAUUGCAAUCCAGUCCACCAUACCAGUCGAGUGUACCCCUAGUUGCUGCAAUGCUCUGCAAUUUUCACAAUUGCAAUCUUCUUGUAGUUGAGUCAUUCUUUUGGAGGAAUUUCCUAUUAUUAUAGUUGUACCAUACCUUGCCCAAGGAGUGAACCUUAGAUGAGGCUUUUGGUAGUGGAAUCCCAAAAGUAGGAUGCUCAUUCCCCUGCUGCACCUAAAUUGAUCUUCCAGGAGGGCAUAUCUACUUUAAGGAUUAUGGUUUGUCACACCUCAAUCAUUCUAAUCCAAUAAGUGCCUAAACUCUUCUUUUCCUUAAUUUGAUUUUUGGUCUUUUGGAUUGAAUUUAGUUCUAAUUUGUUUCAGCCCUCUAUUAUUUAGACACAAUAAUCUUAAAGUAUAUCUCAUUUCAUGAAAACUUUCCUAGUUCACACCUGUCCUAACACCUCAAAGAUUGGUCCCUUUGAUGAAUCUUCUUUAAGAAAUGACAAGAAAAGGUAUUUUCUACAAUUGUCAUUGUAAACCUAGGACAUAUUUCGACUAACCACAAAUCCAAGAAUAAUUUUGAAAAUUUGGCUACAUAGAAAACUGGAAAUAAACAAGUUAGGUAUGUCAUCCUUAGUACAUUUUUUAAUAAAUUGUUUGAUGUAUAUCAUCGGUAUAAGGUAGCUAAGGAUAUUUAGGAUAUCAUGAAUAAUAAAUAUGUUUUGGAAGAUGUAGGAACCCAUAAAUGUCAUAGAGAAUUUUAGGAAAUUCCAAAUGACAAGGAUAGAGAUGUAAAAUCUAAAAUCUAUGCUUACUACAUACUAAUUAAUGACUUAGCUAAUGAAGACAUAAAACUGUUUGAAUCUUUUGUGGUUGGGUAUUUGAUCGUAACUCUUUCAAAUUCUUGGAAAGAUUAUAAAAACAAUACGAGGCACAAAAGAAUGCAAAUGUCUUUAGAAGAUAUUAUAACCCAAUUCAAAUUGAAGAAAAAAAAAACAAGAAUGAGGACAACGUUAAGAAAGCUAAAGAACUAUCCUCAAAGGAUAAUUUGGUAGAAGAAUAAACCUAGAUUGAAAAAUAAUAGACCUAAAAAAAAGAAAAAACUCUAGGACCAAUUAAACCCAAUUGAGAAAACAAGGUCUAGACACAUAUGAGGAGAGCAUGGUCAUUAUUAUGAAGAACUAGGUGGUAGACUCUAGGGCUACUCUACACAUCUAUGGUAAUAAAAGUGCGUUCACUUCCUAUACUAUUAUAAAGGAAAGAGAGGAACAAGUGUUCAUGGGUGAUUCUAAACUAUCCCCGAAGUGUGGCAAAGAGCAAGUUCUCCUCAAGCUAACCUUGAGAAAAGUGUCCACCGUAAGUGAUGUCCUUCAUAUGCUAUAUAUUUGUUAGAACUUGCUAUCAAUAUCUCUACUCGGGAAGGCAAGAGUAAGGAUCUUGUUCGAUUUAGUUAAAAUCAUGUUAUCUAAGAAUAAUGGGAAGGUCUCUUCUUGUUGAAUGUUUCUAAAAUGAUUAAUAAUAAAAAGACAUCUUCUUUUGCUUACUUAGUUGUCUCUUGUGAUAUGUGACAUGAAAAAUUUGGACAUAUGAACUUUUCUUAUACAAAAAGAAUGGUUUAUGUAUGUUUAAUUUCUAAUUUGUUUGUAGAAGACCAUGAAAAAUGUGAAUCAUACGUGGAAUCUAAAACCACAAAGAAAUCUUGUAAAAACAUAGAAAGAGAACUAGAACUACUAAGUUUAUUUCAUGGUGACUUGAAAGAUCUAAAAAAUACAAUGACAAGAGGUGGUAAAAGAUUUUACAUAACUUUCCUAGGUGACUACUCGAGGUAUGCAAGGCUAUAUGUAUCUUUUAAGAAGUAAAUAUGAAGCAAGAGAUGCUUUAAUUAAAUACAAGAAUGAAGUAGAAAAUCAACUAAGAAAAUAAAGAGACUUAGACUUGGUAGGAGAAAAGACUCUGAGUCCUAAACAUUUAUGAGACUAUUCCUUAUUCCUAAAAAUAUAAUAGAAUAGCGAAAAGGAAAAAUAGGACCCUAGGGCAUGAUGAACACAAUGUUGGUAAGUUUAGGAGCAUCCUUGAACUUGUAUGGGAAGAUAUCCUUUACGUUAGUCACAUUCAAAAUAAAAUACCUUAUAAGAAAACUAGUAAAACACCCUAUGAGUUAUGGAAGGAUCAUGCGUCUAACAAAGUGUAUGUAACAGUGUGGGGGUGCCUAACAAAGGUAUUUUUUUUCCUGAACCUAACAAACAAAAAGUAGAUCUUAAAACCAUUAAUGUAGUGUUUAUCAUGGAUUGAAAUGUUGGAAUUUUUCGACGAAAUAUCGCUAAAAUAUCGAUUGUCGGAGCAGACCGACACGAUAUUCCCCAUUGAUAAUUGGUCGAAGGAUUUAUCGGUGAUUUUUUUGAAAUUUCAUUGAAAUAUCGGAAUUUAUUGGAAUUUUUGCCAAUAUUCCAUGAAAUAUUUGGUUAGACUAGAAAACCUCUACAACCUCCUAGAACUGUUGUCCCCUUCCCUCUGUAUUCUCUCUACACUCAUUUUAAAAGGACCUGUAAGAAAUAGAAAACAAAGACAAAAAAGCUAUGUAAUUUUCUAGAUUCUUUUAAUAGAUUUUCUUCCUCUCUAAACACAAAUCUCACUUGGUAUCAGAGCCUUUCCCUUCUUCUCCUCUAAAAUGGAAGGCAAACUUAGGAUGUCGAUGAACACUCAAGCAUGGAAAAUCUGCAGAAGACAAAUUUCUCUUCACCAUUUACAACUACAUUGAACACAUCUCUCUUAGUCAAGCUUGAUCGUGACAAUUACAUGUUAUGGAGGUCUCAAGUCUUGCUUGUAGUUGGAGGCCACAAAAUCAUUGGAUACUUGUUUGACACAAAUACCUAUCCACCAGUGCUUCUUGAUAUUCAAGAUACAUAUGGAAAUCUGAUCCAAAAUCUGAAUCCAACAUAUGAACAGUGGAAUAGAGAAGAUCAAUUGUUACUAAGCUGGUUACUCUCAUCUCUGCCAACAACGAUUCUUGGCCAAGUGAUUCGGUGCACAACUUUGCACGAACUCUAGACUGCUUUGUCACAUCUAUAUUCAUCAUGUUCUAAAGCAAAAUUGUUGCAAUUGAAAAUACAGUUACAAACCUUAAAGAAAGGUUCCUUAUUGAUAAGCGAUUACUUCGCGAAAAUGGAAAAUAUAGCCGAUCAGUGUAUGGUUGUUGGUUACUUCGUAAGUGAGGAAGAUCUUGUCUUUUUUAUACUUGCUAGACUUGGAUCUUAAUAUGAUCCAAUCGUAUGUAGCAUUACAACUUGUGGACCUACAGAUCAACUUUCUCUAAAGGAGGUUUAAGCGCUUUUAUUGAAUCAAGAAUGGAGACUUGAGAAAACACUACAAUGGAGCUUCAAUAUGCUUCAACAAAUUUUUUCAACAAGAAUAAUGGAAAUCGUGAUUGUGGAAGAGCAAAUGUUAAUAAUCAAGGAGGACAUGGUUAAAUUCGAAAUAAUUUUAGAUUUCUUGGCCCUGGAUGUAGUGCUGGAAACAACAAACCUAUUUGCCAGAUUUGUGGCUGAUAGAAUUCUAAGAACGAAUAUUCUAGAGAAAAGAUAGAUGAAAAGGUUAUUUUAGAAGACUGUCAAGAAAGUGUCUCAUCUUCAUAAAGAAGUAGACUCUCUCUAUUUCCUCUAUAUAUUUCUAUAGCUUAAGUAUUGUUACAAUCUGUUAAGCAUGAGUUGUCAAGACUACUUCAAAACUAAUUCUUAACUAAUCCUAACUAAUCUUCUCUAACAUCCCCCCUCAAACUCAGGGUAGAAAGAUUUUCUAUCCUAAGUUUGUGUCUGAAUUCAAUAAAUUGAGUCGAAAAAAUUGUCUUUGUGAAUACAUCUGCAAAUUGAUCAAUUGAAGGGACAUGGGGAACCUUUACCUCCUUUCGAAUGACCUUUUCACGUACAAAAUAGAGAUCAAGCUCUAUGUGCUUUGUUCUUACAUGAAGAACAGGAUUUGUAGAAAGCUUAACCGCGCUAAGGUUAUCACACCAAACCAGAAGAGGCUUAGCUAGUGGAAGUUGCAACUCACUCAACAAUGACCUUAAACAUGUGAUUUCAGCUACCAAACUUGCAAGACUUCGAUAUUCAGCUUUAGUACUAGACCUUGAAACAAUAUGUUGCUUCUUGGAUUGCCAAGAUAUCAAAUUUGGUCCUAAAAAUACACAAUGACAUGAGGUCGAACGUCUAUCAUCCAAAUCAGAUGCCUAGUUAGCAUCACAAAAUCCAACUAAAUCAAGGCUGGAUGAUUUCUUCAAAUGCAAACCAUGCUGCAAAGUGCCCUGUAAAUAUCUCAAGAUUCGUUUCACAGCCUUCCAAUGCUCCUAUGUAGGAUUCUGCAUAAAUUGACAUACUUUAUUCACACUAAAGGAGAGCCCAGGCCUUGUGAUGGUCACAUACUAAAGAGCCCCUAAUGUACUCCGAUAACCAUGUAAAUCUUCCAGAGGAUCACCAUCUCUAGUUCUCCAUUUUAGACCAUUGGGCAGGGGAGUUUUUGCAGGUUUACAAUGCACCAUUUUUGUCUUUUGGAGCAAGUCUCAAAUAUAUUUAGUUUGGGAUAAAUGUAAUCCAUUAUUGGUAUAAGAAACCUGUAUUACUAGGAAAUAAUGCACUUCCCCGAGGUCUUUCAAGGAAAAUUUUGAGUUCAAUUGAGCUAUUAGGGAAGUAAUUGCAGUUGUGUCACUACUAGUGACCAAAAUGUCAUCAACAUAAACAAAGACAUAUGUAAUAUGACUAGGAGUGAACCUUAAGAAUAGUGACUGAUCAGACUUGGUUGAUACAAACCCAAAACUCAGCAAUGCUCGAUGGAGUUUCUCAAACCAGGCUCGUGAGGCUUAUUUCAAGCCAUAUAAGGCCUUAUGAAGUCUACAAACCAAAUUAGGAUUUUGCUCAUCAAUAAACCCCUGUGGUUGUUGCAUGAACACUUCCUCUUGCAAAUAUCCAUUGAGGAAUGCAUUAUUUACAUCCAGUUGCUUGAUUGCCCAAUUCCUUGAGAGAGCAAUGGUGAAGAUAACUCUUAUUAUAGAAGGCUUAACAAAUGGACUAAAGGUCUCAGUAAAAUCAAAGCCAGCUUGUUGGUGAAAGCCUUUGGCGACCAAUCGUGAUUUAUACUUUUGAACAAUGCCAUCUGGAUUUUCUUUAGUUUUGUAAACCCAUUUGCAACCUAUAGCCUGUCUACUAGCUGGUAAAGGAACUAGUGACCAAGUGUUGUUCCUUUGUAAUGCAACAUACUUAGCCACCAUAGCCUUUUUCCACUCAUCUUGUUGAAGGACAGCUGUAACACUCGAAGGUUCUCUUACUGCAGCAAUAAAAUUUUUAGGGGUUUAACAAUUCCACUCUUUGCUCUAGUAAUCAUCAGAUGAGUAUUAUCAGCAUCCUUGGCAAUUCUCCUAGUCACACUUGUAACUGCAAUGGAAGAGACAACAUAUUGUACAAGAGUAAUGAUUGAAUUAGAAACAACUUGCUAAGGAGAAACAACAAAACUAAGAACUUGUGCAGGUGCUGGAGUAGUAUCAACACUAUUAGGUGCAUGUGGGUGAGUGGAAACAACAUUACCCAUUUCACUUAUUGACCUAGUUGAAGAAAUGGGAGAAGUAGGAGCUGGUAGCAUUAUUGGAGACAAUAUUGGAGGAGAGAUUAAAGGAGAAAAAUGAGAAGUAAAGGAGGAAACAGUAGAAGGUAAACAAGAUGAAACUUGAAUAGUUUUAGAAUAAGGAAAGGAGGUUUCAUUAAAAAUUACAUCACGACUAAUAUAUACUCGACCGUUAGAAGACAUACAUUUGUAACCCUUGUGAUUUAGACUAUAACCAAGAAAAGUGCAUUCUUCACUCCUAUAUUGAAGUUUAUGGGUGUUAUAAGGACAUAAGUUGGGAAAAUAGGAGCAACCAAAGACUUUGAGGAAAGAAUAGUUAGGUAUGGACUUGAAUAAGACUUCAAUGGGACAUUUGUGAUGAAGUACUGUAGUGGGAAGCCUAUUUGAUAGGUAAACAACAAUCCUAAAUUAUUCACCCCAAAAUUUAAGAAGAAGAGAAGCUGUAUAAAGGAGGGUUAAACCAUGUUCAACUAUGGUCCUAUCAUUCCAUUCAGCAACACCAUUUUGUUGUUGAGUGUGUGGAUAAGAAACACGGUCUACAAUGCCAUUUUCAGCAAGAUAAUAUUGAAAGACACGAAAUUCACUUCCCCAGUUUGUUUGCAAGGACUUGAUUUUUGAAUCAAAUUGCAAUUCCACUUGAGUUUUGAAGUUAACAAAGGUUUUGAUAGAUUUAGAUUUAUUUAUGAGUAAAAAUAUCCAAGAAAAUCGUGAAAAAGCAUCCACAAAGUGAAUAUAAUACCUAUAUCCACUAUUAGAUAAUACUAGGGUUGGAACCCAUAAAUUUGAAUGAAUUAACUCAAGGGGUUUGGUAUAAGUUGUAUGAGACAAAGAAAAAGGAAACCUAUGUAUUUUACCCAAGAAACAAGAAGAACAGAAAUUGGAGUCAAUUUUAUUUAAAUGGGCAACAUUACAUUUGGACGACAUUUUCAAUUGUUGCAGCUGAAGGAUGACCCAAUCUUCUAUGCCACAAAUCAAAGGUAGAUGGCAAAGAAGUUGUACAAACUUUAGAAGAAAAGGAACUAGCAACAACAGAAGGAGACUUCGAUAAGCUUUGAGUUGGUCUGAGAGAAAGAUGUGAGGAGUCAAAAGCAUACAAUCCAUCUCUAACUUUCCCAACCAUUAGAACAACUUGGGUUACCCGAUCCUUGACAAAAUAGGAAUUAGAUUGAAAUUCAAAAAAUACUUUAUUAUCCUUUGCAAAUUUGAAAACUGACAAGAGAUUUUUGGUAAUGGAAGGUACAUGAAGUAAGUGAUUAAGUAAAAGAGGUUUAGAUGAAAAAGGAGAUAAGAAUUUAGAUUGACCAAUAUGCUUAAUGGACAAACCUAUUCCAUUUCCAACAUGAACCUGAUUUUGCCCAGCAAACUCAACACUUUUCAUCAAAUUUGCAGGGUUAGGUGUCACAUGGUUUGAAGCUCCAGAGUCCGGAUACCAAUUGUCAUCACCACAGACUUCAAGAGUUGGGAUAACACCAUUUACUUGGAGUGAAAAACUGUAAUAAGCCUGAGGGGAAAGGUUCCUGCCUGAUAUAUUCUGUGGUACCUGGAAAGUAUGGUCAAACCUGUAAUAGCACUGUGCUACUACAUGACCUAUUUUACCACACAGUUGGCAUACUGGUUUCUCAUUCUGAUUAUCAGAGUUCCAAGGAGGUCUUGCUUGAAAACCACCUCUGUUUCCUCUACCACGAAAACCACCUCUAUUACUUCUUCCAUUGUCAUUCCAAUUGAAUCCACGACCACCAUUGAAGCCACCUCUACGACCAAAGUCUCCAUCUCGUCUAAAACCACCAUUGUAAUCUAAAUGAUUACCUUGGGAGUUAGCAGCAUAAUAAUUCUGCUUGAAACCAUUCCCUUUUUCUACAGUGUUAGAGAACAUGAGCAGAAGAAGAUGAGUCAAGAGAACCGUUGUUCUUCUCAACUUUGAAUUCAUGAGCCAUCAAGAUAGCUUCAAUUGAAAAAUCAUCAUUCCUCAAAGUGAUUGAGGUAAUGAAAGAUUCAUAAUCACUGGGUAAACCAUCAAGAAUUGAUUCAACAUGAUCUUUGGUUGACAAAGAAACACCAAUAGAUGCUAGUGAAUCAACACAAACCUUGAUCUUCACAAAGUAUUCAUCAAUUUUGAACCUCCCUUCUUGGUAUGCUGAAGUUGAGUCUUAAACUGUUUCACCUUGGCUCGAGUCUAAGACGCAAAAUAUUGCUCUAAUCGUCCCCAAAGAAGAAAGGAUGUAUCACAACCAACUAAACCGAAGAAGAAUCGACUCAAAAACAGAUGAGAGAAGCCAAGAGAGCAGUAGUUAAUCAUGUUGUACCCACUCAAGGAAUUCCUUAGUUGCUUUUCUAGAUAUCGCAUCUUCUCUGGUGAGAAAUUGAAUUGGUACUUCAUCGUCACUGAACAAAAAUUUCUAAAGCCCAUAGCCUCGAAUUGCGAAGACAUUUUUUGUUUCUAGAACAAGAAAUUCUUGUUAUCAAGCUUCACGGACAGUGAGUGAUUGAAGUUAAUUGGAACAAAACGAGUGGAAGACAAAGGAUUAGGGUUCACUAUUGCAAGACUAAUAUUGACCUCCAUUGAAGAAGACUCAUGCUCUGAUACCAUGAUAAAAUUCUAAGAACGAAUAUUCUAGAGAGAAGAUAGAUAAAAAUGUUAUUUUAGAAGACUAUCAAGAAAGUGUCUUCUCUUCAUAAAGAAGUAGACUCUCUCUAUUUCCUCUGUAUAUUUCUACAACUUAAGUAUUGUUACAAUAUGUUAAGCAUGAGCUAUCAAGACUAAUUCUUAACUAAUCCUAACUAAUUUUCUCUAAUAGUGGCAAACAAGGUCACAUAGCCUUCAUCUAUUGGCAUCGUUUAGAUGAAAGUUUUCAGCCUUUAGUGUUGCCAACUCAAAACACCUAUAACAGGACUCCACUUGUUGCUCUGGCUACACCGGAAACCAUUCUUAACCCUAGCUGGUAUGCUGAUAGUGGUGCCACAAAUCACGUGACUACUACACUUGAUAACACUACAAUGAAAAUAGAAUAUGGAGGCCAAGAGAAGCUUAUAGUUGGAAAUGGUAAGCAAAUUUCCAUUUCUCACAUAGGCCAAGCUUAUCUCCCAACACAUUUUCUUGUUUCUCUUCAUCUUGAAAAUGCCUUACAUGUUCCCCAAAUUAGAAACUUAAAUCAUUCAUAUAUCCACAGUAGUAUGCAACACAAUUAGAAACUCUUCCUAGAAUUACUAUCAUAUGGUUUUAAAAAGUGUUUUUUUGAAAACCUUUAUUUUAUUGCUGCUUGAAUUGAGCCCUGGGAAGCUACAACCAGAACUUUUAAACUCAACAAAAGAUUUUACUAAUUAUAUUCCUUAUAAUUACUAUAUAUUUGUAUAUUGUCCUCGUGUGCUACACGCACGGACACUUACUAGUUUAUUUAAAAGAGUAAAAAAGGGGUUUUGGAGAAUUAAGAAAAUUGGGAGGGCAGGUUUUGUUUUAGUUUGUCUUAGUUAAGGGACUUGGGGAUGCGGAGAAAGCCGGAAAUAAUUUGACCUUUUGAAAUGGAAAUUGUUAAAAUAAAUGAAUGAGAAAUUUAGGGGUGGCUAAAAAUUAUGUAGCAUAAGAGAGUUAUCACGCAUGAUACAAAUUUGAAUUUGAUGAAAGAUAAAAUUUUAGUUUUUAAAUAGAUAAAUGCCUAUGAAAGAUUGAGAAUAUAUGAUAAAAAUAGAGUAGUCAUUUUCUUAAUAGGAGUAUAUUAAUGAAAAUAGGGAGUAUUUUUCUCACUUUUAGGUUGACGCGAAGAAAAAUAAGAUAAAUUAGAGUGUUUCAUAUGUAGAAAGUCAUUAGAAAGUUGUUGCAUUGGCUUUAUUAAUUAUUAGGUGGUGUUUGUUUUUUUGGUUAAAUAGAAAAAACCAAAAUAUUUGACUUUUUCUAUUAAGUUAAAAGUAACUUAUUGACAUCUUCCAAUAUAAUUAAAGUAAAUUUGUUAUCAAUAUAUUCAGUUUAGUUAUAUUGAACGAUAUUCACAGGUUACUUUUAGCUGAAUAGAAAAAACCAAAUAUUUUGACUUUUUUUAUUCAGCAAAAAAAUAAACACCACCUUAAUGUUGCUUUCCAUGUCGGUAGGCCAUGUGUUCUUAUCUACAUAGGGACAAAAAUUUAGUGUUGGAGGGAACAAUUCCUUAUAGACAACAUAAAUCUUAUUGGUUCUAAAACUCAUUCUCACUCAUACAUUCCUUCAAUGAUAUAUCUUAUUAGUUUGUCUUCUGAUUGUGGUACCCCUUAUUCACUUUUCCAAACACCUCUUUAUAUUUUGGGUAUUAGCUAAAUUAUAGUUUUCAUAAAGAAAUAAUAUUUUCCUAAUUUUAGUAUUAAGCUCUUUUUUUAAAUUAUGAGCGCUAUGAACAAAAUUAAUUGAACGCGAAAAAACCAUUUAUGAGACUUACAAAAUAACUUUUAACUUCUUAGAAAUUGAUUCAAACAGCGCUUCAAUCAAGCUUAAUGAUGAAUUAAUUAAGCUUAUAUGACACAUUUACGCAUCCUUUGUUAUAAAAGGAAAGGCUUCUGCUGAAGAAGCAUGUUCAUGGAACAAAUAUUUUGAGAGAUGAGCAUAAAUGGAAAGGGAAAAUACAAGAGUUCUCCAACUUUAUUAGGUCAUGCUACACUUAUUUAUUUUAUUUUAUUUCAGCUUACUGGGGCACCAUUUCAAAUUACAAUAAACAUUGCCAAAUAAGGCUGGGUGAAUAAACACCAACCCAAUGAGUCUAUCCGAUGGUAGGGACACUGAUUACGAUGCCGUUUUCGUCGACCCAAACACGGACCCUAGUGCAGUAAAAAUCUUUGGUAACGCUUGUUCCCUCUAACACGAUGUCAACAGUAGUGAUAUGAGGAUUCUCCCUCUUAAUGGUUUCUGCAGCAACCUCUCCCUGAACUCCCACCAGCUCGGGCCAGGAACUCUUACCUGCAUAAGCUCAGAAAAUGAUUAGCAUAAGAGAUGCGGUGUUCCAACAGAAGCAAAUAUCAUAUGUUAAUGACAUGAACAAUAAUUCCUCAUUUACCUUCACAUUCAGAUGCCAUUCUUUUUCCUUCACACGACUAAUUAUGCUUGCUUCAACUUCUGAUUUAUUUGUGUUGUGAGAUGGGUAUUUAUAGAGUGUAUUUGGUAGCUUGUGGUUGGCCUUUAUUGACUUUCUUGCUUUUACGUUCAAACAUUGAUGUUCCUACGUGAAAUAAGUUUUUCGGAGACAGCCAAGUUAGCCAUGGCACAACGGCACGGUAGACAGACACGUCACAAGUUAUUGGUGCAACUGAGUGGUGGUAGCCUGCCAGGAUUUUUGAUAUGUACAAAUAACUUCAUUGAUUAUCGUAAAGCUUGAAGUUGAUUUUUUUAUAUACGUAUUAAAUUACCCUUCAAAAGAAAACCCUUUAUUUGACUUUUUAUAUACUAAAUAUAUUUGAAAAUAAGUUUUCAACCCCCAUGUUUUGAAACAUAUUUUUAAAAAUGCUACAUUUGUUAAAAAUCUCCUACCUGCCCUAACGGAAUUAUGGCCAAUCAGAUCAACAGCACUAAGGUCAUUGGAUAGAUUUUAGAGACAACUGCCUUUGACCCGUAAAACACGAACUUGAUAAUGGAUUUCAUCAGGGAUCGAAGCCAUUUUCUUUGACCAUUUCAGUGGCUGCUUAAUUGGUUUGGAGUAAGGAUUGUUUAUACUCCAAGCAACCCUCUACCAUGGGAAGGUAGCUAGAUUUCUUUUCAAUCAUGAGAAGGUCAAAUUAAUUGGGCAAUAGAUUUGAAUGUACAAAUUGUAAGUAUCAAAUGAGUACUUACGUAACCGAAUAACAAGCUACCUUUUACACUAACAACCGUGAAAGUCAAUCUGCUUGCACCAUCUAAAUGUAUCUUGUCCAAGGCUUGGGUAACUACCAAGAAUUUGCAUGUACUGCACGGCAGCACUAGCCUAAAGCAAGGAGAAUGGGUAGGAGUUUGCUUUUCCCAAUUUGCUCCUGGCAACCUAUCUUUAUCUUAAUCUUACGUAGCUGUAAUCCUACCCGGAAAUGACUAGGUAAAGAAAAGAAAACUGGCCUGCCAAAUGGCUGGCCUCAUUCUUCUACUCAGGAUAACUAGGCAUGAUUUUAUCCACACGCAUGGGUGAUGUGGCCUGCAUUCAAGACAACUCUUUCUAAAAGUAAAAAUAAUUAAUAUAUACUUAAGAAGAAGUCAUUAUUUUGUUCCUGUUUUCUAGUUUUUCACAAUAUUAUCCAAUACCUUAUUAAAACUUCAAGCUCCUAAGUUUUCCUCUGUGGAAAGCAGUUUAUAUGGAUUUUAAGUCACUGGUGUGCCAAUUGAAAAUCAAGGUAGCUGGAUGUUUCAUAAAGACAUAGAGCAACACUAGGUGGCUAUAGGAGAAGACAUAUCUAGAAAAGGUCUACGAUAAGCAGCAACUUACAAUUUCAGCAAGAGCCACAAAUAUAUACAAUGUGAUUAACAUAAUGGAUCAGCUAACCACAUAUAUUUAAAUAUAAUAUGUUCAGUGUGGAACCAAAAAUUUUGAAAUCAAACAUUGCCAGGAUCACUUCGGAAAGCUAUGUGUGCUUGUGGAAACUUUUAGUACUUCAGAGAGAAUUUUCUAGGAAUGGAGAGAGUAUAUAUUUUGAAUAUAUAUUGUUACUUAGUACAUCUGAGUAUAUACUUGCAAUUGGUCGUUUGCUUCAUUUAUAACAAGUUGUUCCUACCAAGAAAAGCAUUAACCUCCGAGUAAUAGAGGAUAUCAUAGUGCAUUUAUCGAGGGUAAAUUAAAGUUAUUUCAUGUUUUUAUUUAUUAAAAUAGAUGGUUUAACUCAUUGCUAACAUCUCAAUUAGCACAAUAUGUCGAGAGGUGGAAGAGUGUAUAUGUGUGUUGGAGUGCAUGUUCAUAAAAUAAUUGUCAAUCCUAGAUUAGACACAGAUUGAAACUUUUUGCAAUUUAUAUGGUGUUUCACUUUCAUAACCUCUUGGGCUUAUAGGGAAGUUGAACCCAUGCGCCCACAAACCAUUCCUUGGGAUUUUGGGAUUAGUUGUGUCACUUAAUUAUUUUUAUUAAUUAAUUUAGCCUUUUUUUUUGUUUGUCUUAAUACCUUUUUAGGAGAGUCCCAUUAGAACUAUGCUUACAAACACCACCCUCCUUCCCCUUGACCCCCAAUACACCAACCCCCCCUCCCCGGCUCUUCUGCAAUUUCCACAAUUGCAAUCUUCUUGUAGUUGAGUCAUUCUUUUGGAGGAAUUUCCUAUUAUUAUAGUUGUACCAUACCUUGCCCAAGGAGUGCACCUUAGAUGAGGCUUUUGGUAGUGGAAUCCCAAAAGUAGGAUGUUCAUUCCCCUGCUGCACCUAAAUUGAUCUUCCAGGAGGGCAUAUCUACUUUAAGGAUUAUGCUUUGUCACACCUCAAUCAUUCUAAUCCAAUAAGUGCCUAAACUCUUCUUUUCCUUAAUUUGAUUGUUGGUCUUUUGGAUUGAAUUUAGUUCUAAUUUGUUUCAGCCCUCUAUUAUUUAGACACAAUAAUCUUAAAGUAUAUCUCAUUUCACGAAAACUUUCCUAGUUCACAUCUAUCCUAACACCUCUAAGAUUGGUCCCUUUGAUGAAUCUUCUUUAAGAAAUGACAGGAAAAGGUCUUUUUUACAAUUGUCAUUGUAAACUUAGGGCAUAUUUCGACUAACCUAAAAUCCAAGAAUAAUUUUGAAAAUUUGGCUACAUAGAAAACUGGAAAUAAACAAGUUAGGUAUGUCAUCCUUAGUACACUUUCUAAUAAAUUGUUUGAUGUAUAUCAUCAGUAUAAGGUAGCUAAGGAUAUUUAGGAUAUCAUGAAUAAUAAAUAUGUUUUGGAAGAUGGAGGGACCCAUAAAUAUGUCAUAGAGAAUUUUAGGAAAUUCCAAAUGACAAGGAUAGAGAUGUAUAUCUAAAAUCUAUGAUUACUACAUGCUAAUUAAUGACUUAGCUAAUGAAGACAUAAAACUGUUUGAAUCUUUUGUGGUUGGGUAUUUGAUUGUAACUCUUUCAAAUUCCUGGAAAGAUUAUAAAAACAAUAUGAGGAAUAAAAGAAUGCAAAUGUGUUUAGAAGAUAUUAUAACCCAAUUCAAAUUGAAGAAAAAAAAACAAGAAUAAGGACAAUGUUAAGAAAGCUAAAGAACUAUCCUCAAAGGCUAAUUUGGUAGAAGAAUAAACCUAGACUGAAAAAUAAUAGACCUAAAAAACAAAACUCUAGGACCAAUUAAGCCCAAUUGAGAAAACAAGGUCUAGACACAUAUGAGGUGAGCAUGGUCAUUAUUAUGAAGAACUAGGUGGUAGACUCUGGGGCUACUCUACACAUCUAUGGUAAUAAAAGUGUGUUCUUCCUAUACUAUUAUAAAGGAAAGAGAGGAACAAGUGUUCAUGGGUGAUUCUAAACUAUCCCCGAAGUGUGGCAAAGAGAAAGUUCUCCUCAAGCUAACCUUGAGAAAAGUGUCCACCGUAAGUGAUGUCCUUCAUAUGCUAUAUAUUCAUUAGAACUUGCUAUCAAUAUCUCUACUCGGGAAGACAGGAGUAAGGAUUUUGUUCGAUUUAGAUAAAAUCAUGUUAGCUAAGAAUAAUGGCAAGGUCUCUUCUUGUUGAAUGUUUCUAAAAUAAUUAAUAAUAAAAAUACAUCUUCUUUUGCUUACUUAGUUGUCUCUUGUGAUACGUGACAUGAAAAAUUUGGACAUCUGAACUUUUCUUAUAUAAAAAGAAUGGUUUAUUUAUGUUUAAUUUCUAAUUUGUUUGUAGAAAACCAUGAAAAAUGUGAAUCAUACGUGGAAUCUAAAACCACAAAGAAAUCUUGUAAAAACUAUAGAAAGAGAUCUAGAACUACUAAAUUUAUUUCAUGGUGACUUAAAAGAUCUAAAAAAUACAAUGACAAGAAGUGGUAAAAGAUUUUACAUAACUUUCCUAGGUGACUACUUGAGGAAUGCAAGGCUAUAUGUAUCUUUUAAGAAGUAAACAUGAAGCAAGAAAUUCUUUCAUUAAAUACAAGAAUGAAGUAGAAAAUCAACUAAGAAAAUAAAGGGACUUAGAUUUGGUAGGAGAAAAAAGUAUGAGUCCUAAACAUUUAUGAGACUAUUCCUUAUUCCUAAAAAUAUAAUAGAAUAGCAAAAAGGAAAAAUAGGACCCUAAAGGGCAUGAUGAACACAAUGUUGGUAAGUUUAGGAGCAUCCUUGAACUUGUAUGGGAAGAUAUCCUUUACGUUAGUCACAUUCAAAAUAGAAUACCUUAUAAGAAAACUAGUAAAACGCCCUAUGAGUUAUGGAAGGAUCAUGCGUCUAACAAAGCGUAUGUGAAAGUGUAGGGGUGCCUGACAAAGGUAUUUUUUUCCUAAACCCAAUAAACAAAAAGUAGAUCCUAAAACCAUUAAUGUAGUGUUUAUCAUGGAUUGAAAUGUUUGAAUUUUUUGACGAAAUAUCGCUAAAAUAUCGGUUGUCGGAGCAAACCAACAUGAUAUUCCCCAUCGAUAAUCGGUCGAAGGAUUUAUUGGUGAUUUUUUUGAAAUUUCAUUGAACUAUCGGAAUUUAUUGGCAUUUUUGCCAAUAUAUUAAGAAAUUUCCCGAUAUUAUCGUUCGUGUAGCCUUCUGCCAAGUGUAGCAUGCUGCCCGCCGCCUCAAACUUUUUUGAAAUUGUUACGUCGUUGCUUUUGAAAUUGUUCGUUGCUUUUGAAAUUGUUAUGUUGUUGCUUGGGGAUUCGAACCCAGACCAAAAAGCUUGAGUUCAAGGCUAGUUACCAUUGAACAAUGCUUCCACUUAUUAACAUACAUAUGUUGAUAAUAAAUUUUGUAAAUUUCAUUAUUAAUUUUUUUUUAAUUAUUUUACUUUAAGUUUUAUUUAAUUAAUUAAUAAAUGUAUAAAAAUCAUUAUUAAAAUUUUCUUAAUAAUAUUUUUUAAUAUCAUUUAUAUAUUAAAAAAUUAUAUAUGAAUCAUCAUUUAUUUUACAUUAUUGAUUGCAUUUGAAUUAAAUAAAUUAUAGUUUUAAUAUUAAAUGUAUCAUCAUUUAUCUCAUUAAUCAUAUUUUAAAAUAUUACUAUCACUUUACUUUUAAAUGUUGUAUAUUUAUCCUUUUAAUUUUAUUUAAUUUUGAAUAUUUUUAUUUUAAAAUAUUAAAAAUAUAAAUUUAUUCAAAAAUACUAAAAUAUAAAAAAAAUAAUGAAAUUAUAAUAUUUUAUAAAUUAAAAUUAUUUUGAUUAGAUAAAUAAUAAAUUAUUAAGAUCGAUUUAUCCUUACCGAUGUUUUUCUCUUUGACCAUAUCUAUGUCAAUUACACUUUAAAAAUAACUUUAACAUGUAUAUUUUUAUUUAUUUAAUCAUUUUUUAGAGUUUUUCAAAAUAUUCCAUGAAAUUUGAAUAAUUUUCUCCUUAUCGAUAUUUUUGUAAAAAUAUCUACUGAUAUUUCUUCGAUAUUUAUGAUAUAUCCAUAAAAUUCAAGUACCAAUAUAUUUGUGUUUAUUGAUAUUUCAAACCAUGGUGUUUAUAGGAUAUGCUAAGAAUAAUUCAACAUAUAGGUUUUUGGUUAUGAAAUAAAAAAAACUACCUCAUAAAAGUGAAUACCAUAAUGAAAACAAAGAAUGCUGAUUUCUUUGAAACAUAUCUUUCUUAUGAAACCUAAUGGUGAGCAAUAAAUUUAGAGAAUAAUUAGAGACAAGUCUAAUAACCUUUUAAAAUUGAUCCAAGUAGAAGUUAAAGAGAUAAGAAAGAAACAACUUUGGAGAUGACUUCUACACCUUCCUAAUAGAUGGGGACCCAAAGAUCUACAAUGAAGUUGUAAUUUUUCCUAGAAAGAUGCCAUUAAUAGUGAAAUAUAAUUGAUCAUAUAUAACCAUACAUGAGAGAUAGUUGAUUUACCUCCUAGUGCAAGAACUAUAGGGUGUAACUGGAUCUUUAAAAUGAAGUUAAAACAUGAUGAAUCAAAAGAUGAGUACAAGGCAAGUUUACUUACUAUGAAGACAAAAAUGGUAGCUGCCACGUCAUGUCUCUCUUAACCAAGUUUGUUAUAACUUGUAACAAAUUUGGUUAAAUUAGAAAAUCUCUAGAACCUCUUGGAACUGUUGUUCCAUUCUCUCUGUAUUUUCUCUACACUCAUUUUAAAAGGACUUAUAAGAAACAGAAAACAGAGACAAGAGAGCUAUGUAAUUUUCUGGAUUCUUUCAAUAGAUUUUCUUCCUCUCUAAACACAAAUCUCACUUGGUAUUAAAGUCUUUCCCUCAUUCUCCUCUAAAAUGGAAGGCAAACUUAGGACACCGAUGAACUCUGUCUCAACAAUCUCAAGCAUGGAAAAUCUGCAGAAGACAAAUUUCUCUUCACCAUUUACAACUACAUUGAACACAUCUCUCUUAGUCAAGCUUGAUCAUGACAAUUAUCUACUAUGGAGGUCUCAAGUCUUGCUUGUAGUUGGAGGCCACAAAAUCAUUGGAUACUUGUUUGACACAAAUACCUGUCCACCAGUGCUUCUUGAUAUUCAAGAUACAUAUGGAAAUCUGAUCCAAAAUCUAAAUCCAACAUAUGAACAAUGGAAUAGAAAGGAUCAAUUGUUACUAAGCUGGUUACUCUCAUAUUUGCCAACAACGAUUCUUAGCCAAGUGAUUCGGUGCACAACUUUGAACGAACUCUGGACUGCUUUGGAACAUCUAUAUUCAUCACGUUCUAAAGCAAAAUUAUUGCAAUUGAAAAUAUAGUUACAAACCUUAAAGAAAGGUUCCUUAUCGAUAAGCGAUUACUUUGCAAAAAUGGAAAAUAUAGCUGAUCAGUGUAUGGUUGUUGGUUACCUUGUAAGUGAGGAAGAUCUUUUCUUUUUUAUACUUGCUAGACUUGGAUCUUAAUAUGAUCCAAUCGUAUGUAUCAUUACAACUCGUAGACUUAUAGAUCAACUUUCUUUGAAGGAGGUUUAUGCGCUUCUAUUGAAUCAAGAAUGGAGACUUGAGUAGACACUACAAUGGAGCUUCAAUAUGUUUCAACAAAUUUUGUCAACAAGAAUAAUGGAAAUCAUGAUCGUGGAAGAGGAAAUUUUAAUACUCAAGGAGGAUGCAGUCAAAUUCGAAAUAAUUUUAGUUUUCCUGGCCCUGGAUGUAGUGCUGGAAACAACAAACCUAUUUGCUAGAUUUGUGGUUGAUAGAAUUCUAAGAACGAAUAUUCUAGAGAGAAGAUAGAUGAAAAUGUUAUUUUAAAAGACAGUUAAGAAAGUGUCUCAUCUUCAUAAAGAAGUAGACUCUCUUUAUUUCCUCUAUAUAUUACUAUAACUUAAGUAUUGUUACAAUCUGUUAAGCAUGAGUUGUCAAGACUAAUUCAAAAUUAAUUCUUAACUAAUCCUAACUAAUCUUCUCUAACAUCCUUCCUCAAACUCAGGAUAUAAAGAUUUUCUAUCCUGAGUUUGUGUCUGAAUUCAAUAAAUUGAGUCAAGGAAACUGUUGUUGUGAAUACAUCUGCAAGUUGAUCUGGUGAUGGGACAUUGCAAACCUCUACCUUCUUUCGAAUGAACUUUUCACGUACAAAAUAGAGAUCAAGCUCUAUGUGCUUUGUUCUUGCAUGAAAAAUAGGAUUUGCAGAAAGCAAAACUGUGCUAAGGUUAUCACACCAAACCAAAGGAGGCUUAGCUAGUGGAAGUUGCAACUCACUCAACAAUGACCUUAACCAUGUGAUUUCAGCUACCAAACUUGCAAGACUUCAAUAUUCAACUUUAGUACUAGACCUUGAAACAGUAUGUUGCUUCUUGGAUUGCCAAGAUAUCAAAUUUGGUCCAAAAAAUACACAAUGGUUUGAGGUCGACUGUCUAUCAUCCAAAUUUGAGGCCUAGUUAGCAUCACAAAAUCCAACUAAAUCAAGGUUGGAUGAUUUCUUCAAAUGCAAACCAUGUUGCAAAGUGCCCUGUAAAUAUCUCAAGAUUCGUUUCAUAGCCUUCCAAUGCUCUUCUAUAGGAUUCUACAUAAACUGACAUACUUUAUUCACAUUGAAGGAGAGCUCAGGCCUUGUGAUGGUCACAUAUUGAAGAGCCCCUAUUGUACUCCGAUAACCAUGUAAAUCUUCCACAGGAUCACCAUCUUCAGGUUUCAAUUUUAGACCAUUGGGUAGGAGAGUUCUUGUAGGUUUGCAAUGCACCAUUUUUGUAUUUUGGAGCAAGUCUCGAAUAUAUUUAGUUUGGGAUAAAUGUAAUCCAUUAUUGGUAUGAGAAACCUGUAUUCCUAGGAAAUAAUGCAUUUCCCCGAGGUCUUUCAAGGAAAAUUUUGAGUUCAAUUGAGCUAUUAGGGAAGUAAUUGUAGUUGUGUCACUACCAGUGACCAAAAUGUCAUCAACAUAGACAAAGACAUAUGUAAUAUGACUAGCAGUGAACCUUAAGAAUAGUGAUUGAUCAGACUUGAUUGAUACAAACCCAAAACUCAGCAAUACUUGAUGGAGUUUCUCAAACUAGGCUCGUGAGGCUUAUUUCAAGCCAUACAAGGCCUUAUGAAGUCUACAAACCAAAUUAGGAUUUUUCUCAUCAAUAAACCCCUGUGGUUGUUGCAUGAACAGUUCCUCUUGUAAAUAUCCAUUGAGGAACGCAUUAUUUACAUCCAGUUUCUUGAUUGCCCAAUUCUUUGAGAGAGCAAUGGUAAAGACAACUCUUAUUGUAGAAGGCUAAACGAAUGGACUAAAGGUCUCAGUAAAAUCAAAGCCAACUUGUUGGUGAAAGCCUUUGGCGACCAAUCGUGCUUUAUACUUUUGAACAAUGCCAUAUAGAUUUUCUUUAGUUUUGUAAACCCAUUUGCAACCUAUAGCCUGUCUAUCAGCGGGUAAAGGAACCAGUGACCAAGUGUUGUUCCUUUGUAAUGCAUCAUACUCAACCACCAUAGCCUUUUUCCACUCAUCUUGUUGAAGGGCAACUGCAAGUGUCGUUCCUUUGUAAUGCAUCAUACUCAGCCACCAUAGUCUUUUUCCACUCAUCUUGUUGAAAGGCAGCUGCAACACUCAAAGGUUCUCUUAUUGCAGCAAUAAAAAUUUUGGGUUUAACAAUUCCACUAUUUGCUCUAGUAAUCAUCGGAUAAGUAUUAUCAGUAUCCUUGGCAAUUCUCCUAGUCACACUUGUAUCUACAACGGAAGAGACAACAUGUUGUACAGGAGUAACGACUGGAUUAGAAACAACUUGCUAAGGAGAAACAACAAAACUAGGAAUUUAUGUAGGUGCUGGAGUAGUAUCAACACUAUUAGGUGCAUGUGGGUGAGUGGAAACAACAUUAUCCAUUUCACUUAUUGGCCUAGCUGAAGAAAUGGGAGAAGUAAGAGUUGUCAGCAUUGUUGGAGACAAUAUUGGAGGAGAGACUGAAGGAGAAAAAUGAGAAGUAGAGGGGGAAACAGUAGAAGGUAAACAAGAUGAAACUUGAAUAGUUUUAGAAUAAGGAAAGGAGGUUUCAUUAAAAAUGACAUCAUGACUAAUAUAGACUCGACCAUUAAAAGACAUACAUUUGUAACCCUUGUGAUAUAGACUAUAGCUAAGAAAAAUGCAUUCUUUACUCCUAUAAUGAAGUUUAUGGGUGUUAUAGCGUCAAUUGGGAAAAUAGGAGCAACCAAAUACUUUGAGGAAAGAAUAGUCAGGUAUGGACUUGAACAAGACUUCAAUGGGACAUUUGUGAUGAAGUAUUGCAAUGAAAAGCCUAUUUGAUAGGUAAACAAUAGUCCUAAAUGAUUCACCCCAAAAUUUAAGAGGAAGAGAAACUGUAUGAAGGAGGGUUAAACCAUGUUCAACUAUAGUCCUAUCAUUCCGUUCAGCAACACCAUUUUGUUGUUGAGUGUGUGGACAAGAAACACGAUGUACGACAUAUUUUCAACAAGAUAAGAUUGAAAGGCACGAAAUUCACCUUCCCAGUCUAUUUGCAAGGACUUGAUUUUUGAAUCAAAUUGCAAUUCCAAUUGAGUUUUGAAGUUAACAAAGGUUUUGAUAGAUUCAGAUUUAUUUCUGAGUAAAAAUAUCCAAGAAAAUCGUGAAAAAGCAUCCAAAAAGUGAAUAUAAUACCUAUAUCCACUAUUAGAUAAUACCGAGGGUGGACCCCAUAAAUCUGAAUGAAUUAACUCAAGAGGUUUGGUAUAAGUUGUAUGAGACAAAGAAAAAGGAAACCUAUGUAUUUUGCCCAAGGAACAAGAAGAGCAGAAGUUGGAGUCCAUUUUAUUUAUAUGGGAAACAUUACAUUUGGAUAAAGCAUUUUUAAUUGUUGCAGUCGAAGGAUGACCCAAUCUUCUAUGCCACAAAUCAAAGGUAGAUGACAAAGAUGUUGUACAAACUUUAGAAGAAAAUGAACUAGCAACAACAGAAGGAGACUUCGAUAAGCUUUGAGUUGGUUUGAGAGCAAGAUGUGAGGAGUUAAAAGCAUAUAAUCCAUCUCUAACCUUCCCAACCAUUAGAACAACUUGGGUUACCUGAUCCUUGACAAAAUAGGAAUCAGAAUGAAAUUCAAAAAAUAUUUUAUUAUCCUUUGCAAAUUUGGAAAUUGAUAAGAGAUUUUUGGUAAUGGAAGGUACAUGAAGUAAGUGAUUAAGUAAAAGAGGUUUAGAUGAAAAAGGAGAUAAGAAUUCAGAUUGACCAAUCUGCUUAAUGGACAAACCUAUUCCAUUCCCAACAUGAACCUGAUUUUGCCUAGCAAACUCAACACUUUUCAUCAGAUUUGCAGGAUUAGGUGUCACAUGGUUUGGAGCUCUAGAGUUCAAAUACCAAUUGUCAUCACCAAAGACUUUAGGAGUUGGGAUAACACCAUUUACUUGGGGUGAAAAGCUGUAAUAAGCCCGAGGAGAAGGGUUCAUGACUGACAGAUUCUGUGGUACCUGGAAAGUAUGGUCAAACCUGUAAUUGCACUGUGCUACUACAUGACCUAUUUUAUCACAUAGUUGGCAUAAUGGUUUCUUAUUCUGAUUGUCAGAGUUCCAAGGAGGUUUUGCUUGAAAACCACCUAUGUUUCCUCUACCACGAAAACCACCUCUAUUACUUUUUCCAUUGUCAUUCCAAUUGAAUCCACUACCACCAUUGAAGCCACCUCUACGACCAAAGUCUCCACCUCAUCCAAAACCACCAUUGUAACCUGAAUGAUUACCUUGAGAGUUAGCAGCAUAAUAAUUCUACUUAAAACGAUUCUCUUUUUCUACAACUUUAGAGCUUGCAACAUGAGUAGAAGGAUAGGAGUCAAGAGAACUGUUGUUCUUCUCAACUCUAGAUUCAUGAGCCAUCAAGAGAGCUUCAAUUUCUUCAACUGAAAAAUCAUCAUUCCUCAAAGUGACUGAGGUAACGAAGAUUCAUAAUCACUGGGUAAACCAUCAAGAAUUGAGUCAACAUGAUCUUUGGUUGACAAAGAAACACCAACAUACGCAAAUGAAUCAACACAAACCUUGAUCUUCACAAGGUAUUCAUCAAUUUUGAACCUUUUUUCUUGGUAUGUUGAAGUUGAGUCUUGAACUGUUUCGCCUUGGCUUGAGUCUAAGACACAAAAUAUUGCUCUAAUCGUCCCCAAAGAAGAAAUGAUGUAUCAUAACCAACUAACUGAGGAAGAAUCGACUUAGAAACAGAUGAGAGAAGCCAAGAGAGUAGUAGUUGAUCCUGUUGUUCCCACUCGAGGAAUUCCUUAGUUGCUUUUCCAAAUCUCGCAUCUUCUCUGGUGAGAAAUUGAACUGGUACUUCAUCGUCACUGAACACAAAUUUCUGUAGCCCAUAGCCUUGAAUCACAAAGAAGAUUUGUUGUUUCUAGAUCAAGAAAUUCUUGUUGUCAAACUUCACGGACAGUGAGUGAUUGAAGUUAAUUGGAACAAAAUGAGUGGAAGACAAAAGAUUAGGGUUUGCUAUUGCAGGACUGAUAUUGACCUCUAUUGAAGAAGAAUCAUGCUCUGAUACCAUGAUAGAAUUCUAAGAAUGAAUAUUCUAGAGAGAAGAUAGAGGAAAAGGUUAUUUUAGAAGACUUUCAAAAAAGUGUCUCCUCUUCAUAAAAAAGUAGACUCUCUCUAUUUCCUCUAUAUAUUUCUACAACUUAAGUAUUGUUACAAUUUGUUAAGCAUGAGUUGUCAAGACUAAUUCUUAACUAAUCCUAACUAAUCUUCUCUAAUAGUGGGAAACAAGGUCACAUAGCCUUCAACUAUUAGCAUCGUUUAGAUGAAAGUUUUCAGCCUUCAGUGUUGCCAACUCAAAACACCUAUAACAGGACUCCACCUGUUGUUCUCAUGGCUAUACCAGAAACUAUUCUUAACCCUAGCUGGUAUGUUUUUAGUGGUGCGACAAAUCACAUGACUACUACACUUGAUAAGACCACCAUGAAAAUAGAAUAUGGAGGCCAAUAGAAGCUUAUAGUUGGAAAUGGUAAGCAACUUUCCAUUUCUCACAUAGGCCAAGCUUAUCUCCCAACACAUUUUCCUAUUCUUCUUCAUCUUGAAAAUGCCUUGCAUGUUCCCCAAAUUACCAAAAAUCUAGUUAGCAUUUCCCAACUUAUAGCUGAUAAUAGAGUUUUUGUGGAAUUUCAUGCAAAUUAUUAUCUUGUGAAGGACAAAACUAUGGGAACAGUUCUACUUCAAGGGAAGCUUAGAUAUUGUCUUUACUUGUUGCAUUAUCCCCAAACAACAACCAACUCUCAAUCAAAACUCAUCAAACCAAUGUCAAAACUUGUUAAUUUGUGCAAGUCUACUACAUCCCUUGUUUGUGUCAAGCAUAAUUGUACCUCAAUUGGUUUCUCUGUUUCUACAUCUUCUUUAAAUGUCAAUAUAUGACAUCAAUGACUUGGUCACCCCUCUGUUAAGGUGCUUAGACAAGUCUUAAAUUUGUGUAAUCCUUUACUGAAUAAAGGUCUUGAAUUUUGUAGUGCUUGUCAAUAUGGGAAAAGUCAUGUACUUCCCUUCUCUAUCUCUGAAACCAAAACUACCUCACCUUUAGAAGUCAUACACUCUGAUAUUUGGGGAGCAACACCAAUUCCUGGAAGUACUGGGUAUAGAUAUUAUAUUCAUUUUAUCAAUGAUUAUACUUGUUUCACAUGGAUAUACCCUCUCAAACACAAAUUUGAAGCUAUUGUUGCCUUUAAACAAUUCAAACUUCUUGUCGAAAAAGCAUUAAACAAGUCCAUAUUAUGUGUUCAAACUAAUUGGGGAGGUGAAUUUUGCCCAUUUGAUGUCUUUCUUUCACAAAAUGGGAUUCAGUUUCUCCAUCCAUGUCCUCAUAUCCAUCAACAAAACGGUUGAGCUGAAAGAAAACAUCAUCACAUUGUUGAACUUGGGCUAACUUUGUUACCUCAAGCUGACAUGCCCUUAUUUUUUUGGUAGGAGGCUUUCCAUACUACAGUUUUCUUGAUUAAUCACCUUCCCAUUCCAGUUCUUUCCGACAUUUCUCAUUUCCAAAAGCUAUUUGGUUGUUUGCCGGAUUACUCAUUUCUUCAUAAUUUUGGCUACUCGUGUUACCCACAUCUAAGGCCUUACAAUACACAUAAGCUGCAAUUUCAUUCUUGUAAAUGUCUUUUUCUCGGAUAUAGUUCAGCUCAUAAGGGAUAUCUGUGUCUUCAUCCUUCUAGUCAAGUAUUCAUUUCAUGAAAUGUAAUCUUUAAUGAGUCAGAGUUUCCUUAUACGGAGUUAUUUUCAUCUCUAAGAAAUGAUUCCUCUUCCCAAACCACACACAUGCUUCCAAGUUUAUCUUCAACUGUGCGUAUAAGUACAACAAUUUUAGUUAUUAAUAUGCAUCAACCACCCAUUAUGGCUAGUCUCGAGGCAAUCAAAGCCAAAAAUCAUUCACAGCCGCAUGACCAAUUAGAAGAGCAUGUGAUACAUUUUGGUUCAACCACAACUACAUUUCCACAAUCUAAGCAACCUUUCCAGCCUAUUAUCAUUCAACCCUGCCAACAACCAGUCCUUACGUUUGAACCAAAUCCUUCCACUCAUCCCAUGGUGACACGAAGCAAAGCUAGAAUAUACAAGCCUAAGUUAUUUAAUGUCCUCAAGCAUCCACUAAUUGUAUUUUUUGCUCCUGCUCAGCCUCUCUCAAUUAAACAAGCCCUUAGUGAUCCCAAUUGGAAGAAAGCCAUGGAUGCAGAAUUUCAAGCUCUUAAGAAUAAUGAUACUUGGGAUUUAGUUCCAUAUCAGUCCAAGUAUAAUGUUGUUGGGAAUAAAUGGGUCUUCAAGCUAAAAUACAAUUAUGAUGGUUCACUAAACAAGUAUAAAGCCCGCUUGGUAGCAAGAGGAUUCAUCAAACUCCUGGAGUGGAUUUCUCUGAGACCCACAAUCCAGUUAUUAAACCUUCUACCAUUCGGGUAGUUCUGGCUUUGGCUGUGCAACAAGGAUGGGAUAUUCGUCAAUUAGAAGUAAACAAUGCCUUCAAAAAUGGACAUUUACAAGAGGAUGUGUAUAUGAGUCAACCUACAGGAUUUGUUGAUUCUACAAAGCCUCACUUUGUAUGCAAGUUAAGGAAAGCGUUUUAUGGGAUGAAGCAGGAGUUGAGGGCUUGGUUUGAUAGACUCAAGCAAACACUCUUAGAUUAGGGUUUUACUAGCUCACGAUUUGAUGUAUCUUUGUUUAUGUAUAAAUCAUGAGAUACCUUGCUGAUUUUACUAGUUUACGUUGAUGACAACAUGUUUACUGGUAACAAUUUUGCAGCUGUAUCAAAAUUAGUAAGUGACUUGAAUUGCAACUUUGUUCUUAAAGACCUUGGCUCCUUACAUUUCUUCCUUGGAGUAGAAGCUUUUCGAGAUACUACUGAGUUGUAUCUAACUCAAACCAAAUACGUUGUUGACUUGCUAAAACGAACAAAGAUGGAUGAAGCUAAACCUCUAACAUUCCCUGCUACCUUAGGAAAAAUCUUAUCAAAGAGAGAUGGUGAUCUUAUGGUAGAACCUGUACUUUAUAGAAAUAUUAUUGGGGCAUUACAAUAUGUCACAAUGACACGUCCAGAUAUCUCAUAUAUGGUCAGUAAGUUGAGUCAAUUCUUACAAAAUCCUAUUGAUGUUCACUGGAAAGCUUGUAAAAGAGUACUUUGUUACUUGAAAGGGACCAUUACUCAUGGCCUUCACUUCAAGUCUAGCAAACAGUUGGACCUUGUAGGCUUCUCUAAUGCUGAUUGGGCAAGCUGUCCAAAUGACAGACGAUCCACUAGUGGCUAUUGUGUAUUUUUUUGGAGGAAAUCUUGUAUCUUGGAGUUCUAAGAAACAAAGUGUGGUAGCACGAUCAAUUACUAAGUCAGAAUAUUGUGCAUUGGCUUUUGUUGUUGUAGAGUUUGUUAACCUAACUUUCAUAAACUUUAUGCGGAAAUAAUUAUUUUUGAAAACAAUUUUGGAUACAUAAAACAAAUAAAUGGAAGUACUAAAAUAAUGAUCAUAUUCUUACCUUGAUCCAUGAAGUAAGAUUGAGUCACCUUGUGAAUUAUAUUGUCAAGGUCUUCAACUCACUACUCUCAUAUAGUAGAUGGGUCACUUGUGUGGUGUAUGUUGUUAAAAAAUAAAUAACAAGAAAAAAAAAGACAUAAGAAUGAGAGUGUGGCUUGGAACUCAAUUUAUAAUAAGUUGUACAUCUCUUAGUCUUCCCAUCAAAGACUAUAUGGGAGUUAUACUCAUUAUUUACACCCAUUAUGUACAAAUUAAUGGGUAAUGGUGGGUUAUGAACUUGAAUGCAUCCAUAUAAUUGCAUAGGUUAUACCUUUCCAUUUUCCUCCAUUACUCAUAAACAUAAUGUACAAAUAAAUUUCAUAAAGAUGGGGUUACAAAAAUUGUAACACCACAUUCAUAUGAGUUAAAUUUUCUAACUCCCCAUUUGUAAUUUGAGUCUUCCAUACAUAAGACUCUUGGAUGCCCAAUCAAUUGAUUCACCUACUUAUCAAUUGAUACCCUUAAAUAAUAUUCAUAUAAAUAUAAUUAUAUAUGACCACACAUUAUAGGAAAAAAAGCUAACAGAGUUAACUUGGAUGCAUUCUUUACAAAGAUAAUUGGGAGUUGAACUCAAAUUCUCACCGGUAAUUUGGUAUGACAAUCAAGGAGCAGCUUCACUAGCAGCCAAUCAUGUAUACCAUUCUCGAACAAAGCAUAUUGAGAUUGACGUGCAUUUUGUGCGAGACAAGGUUUUGCAAAAGACAUUAGAAAUCCGCUUUGUUCCUUCAAUAGACCAAGUUGCUGAUGUCUUCACCAAACCUUUGUCAACAGCUAGAUUUUUACAGUUGAAGAACAAACUCAAAGUGGAUGAAUCCCCUUUUUGUUUGAGGGGGGCAUGUGAAGACAGAAAUGGCAGCUGCCACAUCAUGCCUCUCUUAACCAAGUUUGUUAUAACUUGUGACAGAUUUGGUUAGACUAGAAAAUCUCUAGAACCUCCUGGAACUGCUGUUCCCUUCUCUGUGUAUUCUCUCUGCACUCAUUUUAAAAGCACCUGUAAGAAACAGAAAACAGAGACGAGAGAGCUGUGUAAUUUUCUGGAUUCUUUCAAUAGAUUUUCUUCAUCUCCAAACACAAACCUCACUCUCACCAACGGAUUUAAACAAAGGAAGGUAGUAGGCUAUUUUGACACUUGUGACCAGGAUAUCGUCUAUUAGAGUUUUGUUAUAUGAGCCUUCUUUGUGUUUGCACCGAGACUGAAUAAAUAAGAUAAUAAAGGAUCAACAAGGUUUCAUACCCAUGACAUCCCUUCAAAACAACACCCAAACAAUAUUAAGCUUAAAAAAUUAGGUAACAUUUGACCAAUAAUAUCUAUUAAAUUUAUAUGACUGCAAACCUAACAUUUCAAUGCCAAAAAAUUUUCCCAGGCUUGUAGAUUAUGAAGGAAGAUAAGGUGUUGGAUCUGAUGGACCAGACACAAACUCAAACAUGUGAAACUAAUGAAUUUUUGAGGCGUGUUAAUGUUGGGCUCUUGUGUGUACAAGAAGACCGGAGUGAUCAUCCAACCAUGUCCAAUGUAUUUCUCAUUCUCCAAAGUAAAAAAACCACACUUUCAGUACCCACCAGCCUUUGUUGUGAGAAGAGGCCCUUCUAGCAUGGCUUCUUCCUCUUCCGGCAAUCCAAAAACAUGCUCUACCAAUGAGAUCAUAGUCAGCUUAGAAGAAGGUAGAUAGCUGGGUAUGUAAUGAUUAAUGUUUUUGCUGCAUCAUGGUUGGAUGCUGAGUGAGGUUUGCCAUCUUCGUAUGUCAAACCUAAGGACCACUCUUUGCCUUCAAAGAAAAGAGAAAAUAGUGGACAAAAAUGAUAAAGAGUUUUGCAUGAACAGAGAGUAUAUGUUUUGAAUAAAAACUUAUUAUUGCUUAAUACAUCCUAAUACCUAUCUGCAAUUGAAUUUUCUUUAUUAUAACAGGUUUGUUUAAUAUUCUACGUAAAAUACGCGAUUAAUUCAUUAUUAAAUUUGGGCCAAAGAAGGAUGAAAUUGGAAAACUGAAGGUUGAGCUCUCCUCUUCUUGUAUAUUGUCAAACAAAAAAUUCAUUGAGUUGUAUUUGUAUCCAUGCCUUCUUGUGGUGCAUGCAGCAGCAGGUAUGUGGCCUCAUUGCAUCCAAUAUUGUAAAGAAGAAUAUCAGUCAAUGAUCAUUUGACAUACAUUAUGCCUAGGAUCAUGGACCUAAUUCCUUGAUGGUAGAGCUUCCAUUAUCACUCCUCUAAUUUGACUCUAAUAGUUAGUAUAAAAUUGUUUACAUGUUAAUCAGACAAUCAAAUUCUUAUUCUAGUCAAUGCUUCAUUGCUUCUUUUAUUUUUAGUCUUAACAAAUAUAACCGGCCAGGCACUUACUAGACAUGGCCACGGGUGCCUCAUUAAUUUAAUUUGGAAGGUUUUUACGAUAUUUUGGAUCAUACCUGAUUAGAAUCUAUUGUAAGUUGCUUUCAGCCAUUCUUCCGAAUGACAGGUAAAUUGCCUCAUUCUAUAUAUCUUUGACAAAAAAUGCAUUCUUAUUUUAUUAUAUGGUAUAGGACACGUCCCACACAGCUUAACAGAUUGACUGGCAAAGCAUGAUAUCCAACAUGAAAAAUAUAUUUAUUUCUCUGAAAUAGUAUUAAAACCCAUGCAUUCUUGAUCAAGCCCUGGUGAUGCCUCCUAGCCAAUUUUAGGCGCCAUACUCACGAUGCCAUAGCUAUCAACCCAUACACGAACCCUGUCACAACGGAAAUCAGUGGUCACCAGUGUUCCUUCUUUCACAACGCCUGCCUUCACAUUCAGAUUCUCCCUCUCAAUAAUUGCUGCUGCUGCCUCUCCAUGUACGCCCACCAGCUCUGGCCAUGAACUCUUGCCUAGUUUAAUUUACCAUGAAAACACAUACAUAAACAUGGAACAGUUUAUUAUCUCCUGCAUAAUACAUAAUGUUUAUAUAAACCAAUAUGUACAAAAUCUUACCAUCAGGGCAAGUUGUCAUCUUGUCUUACAGUUCUGAUCUUCUUCUGAUGCAAAGUGUUUGUGGGAGGAAAUAGGGUAUUUAUAGGGGAGAGUGAGUCGGGGUGGGAAGCAAAGGUCUGAAUAAAUUUAGCCGGCCAGGGUCUUUGAAAAUUGAUGUAUUGACUUGGCUUGAGAUCUCUAAAUGCUUUUAAUAAGACGGGCAAUGGUGGAUUUGCCAUUUGAAAGCUUACUCUGAACGAAUAUUCUUUUCUAGAGUAUUCCUCCAAGGAAGACAAGACAGGCAGAUACUCCAUUUUUAUUUCAGUUGUAUAAACAAAACUUAUUCGAGUAGUGGGAGAACACAGUUAAAUAGUCAAAAAGAUAACCCAACAGAAGUGCUACCCAAAAAAGGAUUGCUUGGAGCCAAAAAUUGUCACAAGAACGAUGGGACGAAUGAAAAUUAGGAACCUUUACAGCAACCAUCCUAUUUGGAAUGUUUUUAAUAUGUUUUGUAUAUUUCUAAAUAAUUUUUUUUUAAAAAAAAAACUUUUAAUAUGUAGUCAUGUAUUGAUUUUCAAUUAUUUUUUUUAUAAUUAUAUUUUAAAAUAAUUUUAAAAAACGAGUAAAAAUAAUUGAAAACAAGUCAAAUAUGUUCUCAAAAAAUACUACAUUUUCAAAUUAAACCGUUCUCAAACAUAGCCUUGAAUCUUGUAAGAGGUGCAAGAGCAUUUGGAAUUCUUAAGCAUGUAGACAAAGGAAACAGCUUUGCAGGUAUGGUCAAGAAUCAGAGAGUUGCAUGUUCCUGGUGUGGUUUUCAAGCCUUAUUUCAAUACUAUGUAACGUCAGAACAAGCACUCUAUAUGAUCUAUCCACAUUAAAAGACAUAACUACAAUGAAUAAUAUCACAAUUUCUUUAUAAUAUAUUUAGAGGCCUAACUUCUCAUAAAGGACCUGUACAUGAAUAAAAAUUAUUAAGAUGUGUUUAGAAACGUUAAUUUUUGAAAACAAAUUUUAAGAAUGGUUUUCAAAUAUGGUACUAUGAUGUUUUUAAGAACAAAAAGAUGUUUGGAAUUUUAAAUAUUUUAAAUUUUUUAAAGUACCAUUCAUUUGUAUUAUUUUACUUUCAAUCAUUUUUCAUGUUGAUAUAAUUAUAUUUUAAAAUAGUCCUUAAAAAAAUUAAAAAUAACUAAAAACUAAAAUAUAUUUUAAAAAGAUAGUUAAAACAAGUUUUCAAGCCACCUUUCUCUAUCAAAAAAUUAUCAAUUGAAAACAGUUUUUAGUUUGUUUUAAAAUUAUUAAUUAUUAUUAUUAUUAUUAUUUAAAAAAAACGGUUUUCAAACACACUCUUAAUUUUUAUCACAAUGUUUUGAUAAGAAAAAAAGAAUGAAAACUCCUCUAAUCUAAUAAAUAUAUAUAUGAAGUAGUUGAACUCUUAUCAACCCAAUAUGUUAAUCAUGAGAAGGAAAACAUUGAAUCAAGACCUUGAAUGUUGAAGUUCUCAGUAGAAACAAGAACUUUCUUGGACAAAGGCUGCAUGGUAGGAAAAAAAAUUGUCUUAUCGCUAGAAAAAAGGUACUGUUAUUUUAAUGGACCAUGGACAAGAGAAAACAGGCACAAUAGUACGUUGUGAAAUAUGUAAGAAAAUUCUUUGAGAAGGGAUGGAUGGAAAUCUUGAGUGUUAAUGUAUCAUGAAAGAUAAAUGAAUUAAUUUGAGUUACAUUAGUGUGACAUUGAUAGGAUGUAUUGAUGGUGCUUCUGACACAGUCGACUUAAUAUUUCAAUUCAUCCAAUCCACUCAAAUUACAAGCAAGGAGGAUUUAUAAACUCCUUUUAAAUGGGUACUUUAAUAAACAAAAAUUAGUUAUUGAUACAACCCUCGUGACUAUGUCUUCGUGGUCAUCUAAAUGUGAAACCCUAUUGCAGACAAAUAUUAUCAGUAACCAUAUAUCCUUCUAAUAUGAUUUCGACAGUGACAAAUGAUUUCUCCCUGUCAACUCUUGCAUUGGUGAUCUCCCCUUGCAUUAGCAUAGCUCAAAGAAUUGAAAAAAAAAAAGAAAAAAAAAAUAGAAAGGAAAUCUUAAAUUUGUUCUAUUUGAUUUGUAAUUAAAAGGUUAAAAAUAAAAUAAAAAUAAUUAUUCCACUCCAAUUUAUAUCUUGAUCACUUACUGUGUGAUAAAUUGUUGCAAGUUAUAAUUCAGCAAGAGCCACCAACACAGACAAUAUAUAUGGUUAUUAUAAUAGAUGGGUUCACUGAAUAUUUUCAGAUUUAUAUCCAGGUUUGAAAUUGAGGAUGAAAAACCUAAGCUGAUUUUCAGAAGAUAUAUUAUUAAUGAGAAAGCUUGAUAUACCAGAAAGCAGGAAGAUUCAGAGAGAGGUUUGGUUUUGGUUCCAACCAGCAUUAAUGGAGACCAGUCUUGUUCUGGGCAGGCACCUCACACGACUUCGUUAAUAAUGGAGAACAUAGGCAGAUUAUUGUAGAAAUGAACAGCUUAAACCACAAGAUGUUAAUAAUGGAGAACACCAUAAGACUUUGUUUUUGGAAAUCGAGAAAAAGAAAAACCAGAAAUCACUUGGUCUGCCGGUUUUGGGCAGAUAGAGAAGCUGAAAGAGCUAGAUUCGAGGCAGGUUAACCACGAUUCGGCUUCCAUCUGUAAUUGACUUACCGUACAAUACAUAUCAUGUCACCCUUGAAUCAGGGUCAUUUCUUCUCCUUUUUCUCAAUUUUAUUGGCCUCCAAACAGACUGUUAAGUACACUUUUUUCUUUUUCAUGUGUAGAAGAUUUUCAAUAGGGUUUAGUCUGGCCAGAAUGCUGGAAGUCAUUGCCAAAUUGGUUGAUUAGUUCGGAUUCCUAUGGAGUUACUGAUGUUUCUGUUUUCCUCAUUCAUAUAAUUCGACUCUCUUUAAGUUUUCUGAUUUUCUUACCCUCUGUUGUAUGAAGCCGUAUUUGAAAAUCCCUAGUCAUUCCCUUUAUGCAAUGGGCUCCUCAACUCCUCUUGCAACCUAAGUUGCUUAAUUCAUCCAUCCUUUUUCCUUCAAAUGCAUCUAUCUGUGUUCUGAUCUGUGAUUGUUGCAGUCGUAGAGAAGAUUAGGAAAGAAAGUUGAAGAAAAGAAAAAAAAUAUUGGACUCCUAUUCAACUUUGUUAGCCCACAAUCUUAUUUGUUUUUGGUACUGCAAAUGGAAAAUAUCAUAAAGAAAAGGAAAUUUAUCACACUUCGACUUUAUUGGCCACUCUUAUUUAUUUUUAUUACAGUAAAUGGAGAGUAUAUAUCGCAACUCCUGAUAGAUUGGUGGAGCAUCCUUUCAUAAAGGAGCAGCAUUUACAAUAUAAGAAUAAAUAGUUAAACACCAGCCUUUUACAGUCCUAGCCAACAACCGGGACCCUGGUAACAAUGCCACUCUCGUCCACCCAAAUGCGGACCCUAGUGCAAACUGGGACCAAAUCUGCAGGAACAAUAGUUCCCUCCAACACGAUCUCAACAUCGGUGACAUAAGGAUUCUCCCUUUCAACUGUUGCCUUAGCGACCGCCUUUUGUACUCCGAGGAGCUCAGGCCAUGAAGUCUUACCUACAUAGGCACAGCAAAACUUUGGUAUUAGAAGGAACUAUAUUAACGAAAUUUGAACAACGGUGUAUGUAAUAAACUAUAAAACUAGUUAAUUACCUCUGCAUUCGAACGCCAUCCCUUUUCACUUCACGAAGCAAUAUGUCAGCUUGCUAAUUAGCUUGUGAUCUUUUGUGUUGCUAGACGGCUAUUUAUAGAGUAUGCUUGAUAGAUUGUGGUAGUUCUUUAUUGACUUUCUUGCUGUCAGAUUCAAACAUCAAAGUUCUCACCCCCCCUUUCAGACAGGUGUACGAAUUUUUGGUGUUGUUGAUUAUGGAAGCUUGCUGACAAAUUAUUUCCAUUAAAAAUGGUGAAAAAGGCCAUGUUAGAUACAACUGUCACUAGUUGACCCUUUCCAUAAUAGCUAAAGUUCACAGCCGUAGCCUUCUUCUUUGACCCUUUCCUUGAUGGUGCGUGGCAAACCUUAUCAUCAACGAUGAUUUAGGCUGCAAGUGAAAGGGAGCAAAAGAUAAUAAUGGUAUUUUGGUGACUAGACCCCCAUUUUCUGCUGUUUGUAUAGAUGCAUAAUAUAAAGGGUCAUCUCGUAAAGGAAUCUUCAGAAAAUGUCAACAAAGAAGGCUUGUUGUAACCAAGAGGGUAACCUUCUUGCUAACAAUCGUACAUGUCAUCGGUUGUGCACGUGCUUGGCUAAUUUGCAGUAUGCCAAACGCCUACCUUUAAUGAUUGUUGCUUUCUGGCUCACAACAAUUUCGAGAAUUCAUAAGAGGACUGGAUCAUUUGAUGGUUCUUAUAAUCUAAAAUCCAAAUCACUGAUUAUCCCACAUUAAAUUCCAAUUCAAGGGAACUCAGUUUAUAUAUAUAUAUUGGAUCACAUUUGUUGUAUUAUAUAUAUAACCAUGCAUGCUGAAGUUCUUCCUCCUUUAAUAAGUAUUCACCAUUCAUUUUCAUAAUUUGCUAGCUAGCUAGAUAGAAACAAUUGAAAUUAAGAGUCUGUUUAGUGGUAUGAUUUAAAAAUAGUUUUAUGUUGAAAUUGUUUUAAAUUUUUUUAACAUUGUUUAGUUGUUUUCUAAAAACAGUUUUUAAAAACAAAGUAGAAUAAAGAAUGGUUUUUAGAGAAUAAGUAGAAGGUGUUUUCAUCGGUUUUUAAAAACAAAAGGAAAAUGUAAUUUUUUUUAAAAAUAAUAAUAAAAAAAACAAGUAAAAUAGAAUAUAAUACAUUUCCUUUCUCUUUUCAUGAUCUAUUGACAGCGAAAAUGUUAAAAUAUGAUAUUCUUUUAAAUAACAUGUACUUUUAUAUUUUUUUUAACUUCUUUAAAAUUUUUCAUUAAGCAAAUAAAUUUCAAAUAAAAUUGUACUUGAUUCAUGAAAGUCAUUAAUUGUCAAAAAUAAUUUGAUAUUCUAAAACUAAUUUAAUUAAUUCUAAAAAGUCAAGAAAGUCAAUAACAUUAGUAAAUCAUAAACAAAAAUUUAUUUUAAAUGUCUAGGUUAAUUUCUUCUUUAUAUAUAUAUACAUACAUACAUACAUACAUACAUGUAUAUACAUACUAUUAGAAAAAUUAGGCUAAUGCAACCUAUGGUAAUCACUCUAGAGGGGGAUGAAUAGGGUGAUGGUUCUUUUUUUGCAAAUUUAAACUGUGUGAAUGUUAGAGACAAAUAUAUGUAAGUAUAUAAUAAAAUAAUGUAAAAACAAUUGCAUAUAAAGUAAAGGAGUAGAGAAGAGAGAUUGCAAACACAAGAUUUUUAUAGUGGUUCGGCGCAACCCGACUUACAUCCACUCUCCUCUAGCUUCAAUCCCAAGCUUGAGGUUCCACUAAUUCAAGGCUUCCAAACCAAGUCUUCAAGUAAUACAAUCGGAUUAUGGUUUCAAUCCACCAUCUUGAACUUUUGGCUCCAAGCACCCUUUACACUUUUCAAGAGAUACUCCACUCUUGGACAACCCCUCAAGUGAUACUUCUCACUUAAGAAUCCCUAAGUGAUACCUCACACUUAGAUUCUUCCUCUUAAAGAUAUACAAAUAAUUUCACAAACUCUUAGUAUAAAACUUUAGGCUCAAAUGAUACAAGUAAACUAGGAUUGAAUGGUGCACUAAAGAUAUGCAAGUUUUAGAAUAAUGGUGUACUAAAAAACACUCUUCCAAGGCUUAAAUAUAUUCAAGAAGGGUUUGGAAAGGUUAAGUUCAUUAAUAAUGAAGAUUUAUAGUCUUUUUAUAGAGGAAAAAAACAAAACUAACCGUUGGGGGUUCAACCGGUCGAGCUGGGGGUCGAUCGAUUGACUAGUCGUUAGCAUUUAAUACUUGGCAGGUGACUAUUAGACCUCGACCAAUUGAGGUGUGGGUCGACUGGUUCCUCAUCCGGUUGAACAACCAUUCUGAAAGUUUUUUGCAACCUUCGACCAGUUAAGCUGGCGGUCGACCGGUUACUAUUCACACCCUUGAUCGGUUGAAUUGAGAAUCAACCUACUCCUAAACCGGUUGAGCUGGGGAUCGGCCGGUUCCUCAUCCGAUUGAACCGGUUGAGUCGUUUUUGGUUCAAUAACCAACUUUUUCAACUUAAAACCUUUUAAACAAGUUUGAAAAACAUUUGACACAAGGUUUUAGUUGAAAACAUGAAAUCAUCCAAUUUUAAAAUAUUUAAAAUAAAAUAACUCUUGGAUGAUUUUGGUGUAUAAGUAAAGAAUGUAAUGUAUGAAAAUCCUAGUGCACCAACAACCUUACAAGAAGAUCUUAUAAAGCUUGGGUCUUGAAAAAUACUUCUCUUUGAGGUGGUCUUCUUUUUCAUGAUUUCUCAUUGGCUUGAUUUGUCUUUGUAAUUGUCACUUUGGAAAUCAUCUUGCCUAAUCACACUUGAAAUAUAAUCAUUAGUUCUAAACCUUGUUUUGUUAUUAUCAAAACCGAGAUUAACUAAACCUUAGUUUCACACACACACACGCACAUAUAUAUCUAUGUAUAUAUAUUAGGCAAAUAAACUCAAGCAAGACUUGUGUUGGAUUCAUUAAUGAGUUUAAUAAUUUUUAAAUUAUUAGAACUCAAAAAAUAGAUGUAAUCAUUAAAAAAAAAAUAGAUCAAAAUUUAUAUAUUAUGAGUUAUAACUUUACUAUUUCUCCUAUACAUAUGAAUAUAUAUUUUGAAUUUAGGUAAAUAAAUUAUAAAUUAAGUAAGAUAUAAUUAAUAAUUUAAAUUCUUUAAUGAAUUUUAAAUUUUUUAAUAAUGAUUUUGUAUUCAAACAAAUGAUCUAAUUAAUUGAAGGUUAAAUUAAAACAUUAUAAAAUAUUAUGUUCAUAAUUCAAUACUAAAUGUGUAUAUGAAAUGAAAAACUUGAUUCAUUUACAUGUUAAAAGUUAAACAUUAUUUAUUAUUCAUUUUAGAUACAAUAUUGUUAAAAAUUAUUAAUAAUAAUUUUUAAUCCAAAAUUUACAAAGAUGUUAAUAUCCUUAUGUUUUUAACAAAUACUAAAAUAGUAUAUAUAUUUUUUUUAUAAAAAAAAUAAUUUAUGAUUUUAUUAUAAUAUUAUUAUUUAUAUUUUACUAAAAACUAUUUAUUUUUUAUUUUAUUUGUAAUUGCAAGACUAUUUUCAUUUUUAAUAAGACUUGACUUAAAUUUAAUUUAUAUUUUGAAAAUUGAAUUUGCAAUGUUUUCACAAAACCAAAAAAAAAAAAAUUAAAAACAACUUAUCCAAACAAGUUUUUUGUUUUUUAUUUUUAAAAACAAUUUGCCAAACACCUUUAUUUCUAUAAAACACUACAAAAUUGUUUUUUGUUCUUUAAUUUAAAAACAAUUUUUAAAAAUAAAUUUCGAAAAUCAUGAACAAACAAACCUUAAAUCUUGCUAAAAUCAUUUUAUUUAAUGGAAGUAUGAGCAAAUUUUUGCUACAACUUUUUUUUUUUUUAAAUGAAACAUAGAUCUAAUUAUCUUAAUAUUACUAAUAUGGAUAUAUAACUUUUCUACAAUUUUUUUUAUUAGAUCUAUGUUAGCAAUAUUAAGGGAAAAAUUAUUAUUUUUACUCUUAAUUAAAUUUUUUACUACAACUUUUUAAAAAAGUUUGCAAAAACAUGUUUUUUUUAAAAAAAAAAAAAAAAAAAAAAAAAGAAAUCAAACAUAGAUCUACAACUUUAUUAUGAAAUUUUUUUUACUAUAACAUGGAUUAGAUCUAUGUUAGCGAUAAUAAGGGAAAUUUUUACUACAAUUAUUUUUUAAAAUGAAACAUAAAAAAAAUGUUUUUAAUAAGUUGUCCAGAAAUCAUUUUUAAAUAAUAAAAUUGGCCAAAAAUGAUUUCAAAUAAAAAAAUGUCAAAAAUGAUUUUUAGAUAAAGUUGUCCCAAAAAUGACUUUUAAUACAACCGUCAAAAUUAUUUUUUUAAUAUAAACUAGCCAAAAAUAAUUUCUAAAUAAAAACAGUCAAAAAUGAUUUCUAAAACAAAAAACUAUAAGAAUGCUUUUUAAAAUAAAGCUAUAAUAAAACUAUAAAUGUUGUAAAAUUAUAUAGUGAAAUGAGAAGAAAACAAGAAGGAGAAAUUAGAAUGUAGAAAGAGAAUAUAGUGGAUUUUCAUUAGAGGUAUCUCCCUUUUAUAGAGAGUCACAAAGAGAUAAACAUUAAUAUGGAUGAUCAUCCACAAGUUCCCAUAAUCCGAUAAAUUCUCAUAUUUUCUAACACUCUCCCUUAGAUGACCAUAAGAAUAUGGUAACUGUCUCAUUAAAAACCUUGCUAGUAAAACCUAGUGGGACAAAACCUGGAUGAAGGAAAAAAGAGUGCAAUAUAUCCAUAUUAGCAUUCUCCCUCUAAUGUAAACAUGAUUAUGAUUUCUUCAACAUUUCAAAUAGUAGAUCUCUUAUUCUUCGCAUUCCAAUGUUAUACCUUAACUUUUUCAAUGUGGUCAAAGGUAACGCCUUUGUGAAUAGAUCUGCUAGAUUAUUGCAUGACCAAAUUUGUUGAACAUUAAUCUCACAUUUUUUUUGGAGCUCAUGAGUAUAGAAGAAUUUAUGGGAGAUAUGCUUAGUUCUGUCACCUUUUAUGAAUCCUCCUUUAAUUUGUGCAAUAAAAGCAACAUUAUCUUCAUGUAACAUGGUUGCAUUGCCUCUGAUGGAAGGUAGUCCACAUGUUUUUUGUAUAUGUUAGAUCAUUGACCUUAGCCAUAUACAUUCACGACUUGCUUCACGAACUGCAAGAAUUUCUAAAUGAUUUGAAGAUGUGGCCACCAUUGUUUGCUUGACUGAUCUCCAAGAUAUUGUCAUUCCACCAUAAGUAAAGGCAAAUCCCGUUUGAGAUCGAGCUUUAUGAGGAUCUAAAAGAUACCCUACAUCUGCAUACCCAAUCAAUUGUGAUUUUGAUUCUUUUGAAUAAUAUACACCUAUGUCACUUGUUCCACGAAGGUAUCGCAGUAUAUGUUUAAUCUCAUUCCAAUACCUUUUAGUUGGGGCAGAAUUCUAUCUUGCUAGUAAGUUGACAGAGAAUGCUAUGUUUGGUCUAGUACAAUUUGCAAGAUACAUUAGUGCACCGAUUGCACUGAGAUAUGGUACGUUUGGACCAAACACUUCUUCAUUUUCUUCUUUAGGAUGAAAUGAGUCUUUGUUCACUUCAAGUGAAUGAACAACCAUAAGGGAAUUGACUGGAUGUGAUUUUUCUAUAUAAAAUCGUUUUAAUACUUUCUCUAUAUAUGUCGAUUGAUGGACUAAUAUGUCAUUUGAACAAUGCUCGAUUUGCAGGCUGAGACAAUAUCUUAUUUUCCCCAAGUCUUUCAUUUCAAAUUCCUUCUUUAAAUAAUUGGCUACUUUUGUGAGCUCUUCAAGAGUUCCUAUAAGGUUUAAAUCAUCCACAUACACUGCAAUUAUUAUAAGCCCAAAUUUUGAUUUCUUGAUAAAAACACAUGGGCAAAUUGAAUUAUUCACAUAUUUUUUCUUUUAACAAAUACUCACUCAAACGAUCAUACCACAUACGUUCAAAUUGCUUUAAUCCAUACAAAGAUCUUUGUAGUUUGAUUGAGUACAUGUUUCGAGGUCUUGGAUUAGUUGCUUCAGGCAAUUUGAAUCCUUUAGGGGUUUUCAUAUAUAUGUUAGUAUUUAUAGACCCAUAUAAAUAGGUUGUAAUAACAUCCAUAAGAUGCAUAUCUAGUUCUUCAGAGACUGUUAAACUUAUCAAGUAUCGAAGUGUGAUUGCAUCCAUUACAGGGAAAUAAGUUUUCUCAUAGUCUAUACUAGGUCUUUGAGAGAAACUUUGAGCAACAAGUCGUGCUUUAUAUCUUAUGAUUUCAUCAUUCUCAUUUUGUUUUUUCACAAAGACCCAUUUAUAUCCAACAGGCUUUAUGUUUCCAGAUGUUUGAACUACGGGUCCAAAUACCUCUCGUUUUGUUAACGAGUUUAGCUCUGUUUGGAUUGUUUCUUUCCAUUGUGGCCAAUCAUUCAUUUUUCAACAUUCAUUCACAGUUUGUGGUUCUUGAUAUUCAUCAUUUCUCAUGAUGUCCAUAGCCACUUGGAAUGCAAAUAUAUUAUCUAUGAUAAUGUCGCUACGGUCCUUUGUUUCACCUGUGUGACUCAUUGAGAUCUCUUCCGUUCUAGAUACCGGUAUUUGAUCAAUUUGUGUCUCUUCAGGAGCUAAUUGUUUGUCAAGUUGGGUUUCAUCAUUUGACCAUUUCAUAUUUGUGAACUCUUUAGGAGUACUAAAUUUUUUCAUAUGUUGUUCAUUUUCUUUUUCUAGGAAUUAAAUCAUUUGAGCCAAUAGGUCUACCACGCUUCAGGUGUGUCUUAGAUUCAUUUGCUAUGACAUUCUCCAAUUGUCCUUCAGGGACAUCAAUAUGUGCUGGGGCGUUCACAACUGGCACGUGCGACUUUGUUACUUUCUUUAUAUCUGUGAAAGCAUCAGGUAAUUGAUUUGCAAGUCCUUGCAAAUGAACAAUCCUUUGAACUUCUAACUCACAUUGUCUUGGUAUGAGGAUUAAGAUAAGUCAAAGUUAAUGCAUUCUAAAUAAUUUCAUAUCGUUAUUCAGGAACUGGUUCUUUUCCCCUUAAUGGUGAGAAAAUUGUCUUAUUAAAAUGAUAAUAUGCACAACAUGUCAUUCUACUUUUUAAAUGUAUAAGUAGACUAGUCACUAAAUAAAAACUUCUGGUUUUAUAAUGUACAUCCAUACGACCUUUUACCCCGAGGGACCAAGUUGGUCUUAAAAGAUUCUUCUGGAUCUAUUAUCCUAUAAAGUGUCAUUCACAUGGAAUCAAAUACUACUAGUGACAUAGUAUAAGCUCUUCUAGAGCCUUUAAUCAAGUUUCUAUCACCUGAUAUAAUAUUAACAUUGUUUGUCAUCAAUGUUGUGCAAUUAAUGAGACAAGAGUUUUAUCAAAAUAACAAGUCAUAAAAUAUUGUCAUAAAGACCUUGUCUUUAUAGAGUUGAAGAAAUAUUAUCAUAGAGAAAGAUUAAAAUCAAUGGAAAAAUAUUAGUCAUUGAUAAUGACUUAACUUAAUAACUUGUGUAAAAGCAAUGAGAGCAUAUAUAACACAAUAAAACAAAUAUGAAAAGAUAAUUUAAAGUUAUAUAUUUCUCAAAUAAUCUCACACAUUUGAUUUUGUAGGUGUGAAACAAUUUAUACAUGAAAUAACGAGGAAGUAUUUCAAUAAUCAAACUAAUUGUAGUGAUAGAUCAAUAAUUUUAUUCAAAAUAUUAUUAUGACCUAAAUCAAUGUGCAAAAAUUAAUUCAUAAAUCAAAAUUUCAAGAGAACAUAUUAUGAUUUAAAGCAUCUUGUUGUUUCAAAACUUUAAUUGAAAUACUACAAUCCCAUUUGAACAUAUAUGUAAAGAUAUAACAUUAUAUAUUGAGAACAAUAGUUGAACCUAUUGUAAUUUCAAAAUUAUUUUUGGAUAAUGAAAUUAUUGCAUUAAUAAAAAUACCAUAUGUGACAACAUGCAAUAAUAUAUUAUUUUAUAUAACUCAAAAAAAUUUCAAUCAUAAAAACAUAUCUUAAAGAAAGUUGACAUGCAAAAUCAAUUUAUUAAUCAUAUGACCAAGUCAUAUAUUUCAGAUUUAUCCAAAGAAUCUCAAUUUUCUAAAUCAGAAGAUUAUUGUGUAUUAAACAACUAGAAUAAAAAAAUAUUCCAGACUAUCACCUCUGAUACAAAAAUAUCAUACUUUCAUGCAAUUCAAAAUUCCACAUUUAUAUGUAAAAAAAAAAUCUACUAAUAAUGGUACAACAUAUAAUAAUAGGAGUUUAUAAAAACUGUCAAACACUUACCUAUUUGUAUGAUUUGAUAUACAUAAUAUUAAUCUUUUGAUAAUAUGUAAAUAUUAUCUAUAUUCUUAUUAUUAUAGUUUCAAGCUAUAAUAUAUUCCAUUAUAACUUUUGGUUAUAUAAAUUUCAUAAAGUUGUACAAAAUUAUUAGUUAAUAAUUUUGUUCUUUAUAGCUUCUAGCUAUAAGAAAGUACAUAUUAACAACUUUGGCACAACCUUUAAUUAGCACAAAAAAUAUUAAUUUUCUUAUUUUCAUAACUUCGGGUUAUAUAUAAUAAUAUUUAUAUAACUUCUAGUUAUAUAACAAAAUUUUAAAAAAUAUGUAUCUUCUAGGUACAUAGUUUGUUCAUUGACAAUUUUGUUUUGUAUAACUUUUUGUUAUACAAGAUAAUUAGAAAUUGUAUGAAUAGCUUCUGAUUAUGAAACAAUUGUUAAUAAAAUUGUUUUUCCAUAAUUCUUGUUGUGAAAAAUAAGUGAGUACGAAAUAAAAAUUAAAAGCCAAUAUUUUUCAUAACUUUGAGUUAUGAUUAUUUUGUCAAAACAAGAAAAUAUUCAAAUUUGUACAUAGCUUCAGGGUAUGAACUAUUUAUGUAUAACUUCUAGUUACACAAUAUAAUUAAAAGAAAUUAAAAAAAAAUAAAAGUUAAUAUUUUUCAUAGCUUGAGGCCAUGAUUAUUUUGUAAGAAUAAGAAAUAUUUAAAUUUGUACAUAGCUUCAGAUUAUGAACUGUUUUUAUAUAAAUUUGUGCACAACUUUAAGCUAUGAACUAUUCAUUGUGUAGAUUUGUGCAUAACUUCAAGCUAUAAACUUUCAUUAUGUAAAUUUGUACAUAGCUUCAGGCUAUGAACAUUUAUUUAUUUAUUUAUUUUAUAGCUUCUGACUAUAUAAUAUUGUUUGAUAUAACAUCCAAUUAUACCGUAUAAUUAAAAUAAAUAAUUAGGGAUCAUAUACAUAACUUUUGGUCAUGUUUCUGUAAUUCUGUAAUUUUUCCCCAUAACUUCUAGUUAUAGGAAUUGCACAUAUUUUUCAUAACUUUUAGUUAUGAAUUUAACCCAUAAUUUAUAAUUUACCCCAUAACUUCUGGUUAUAGGGAUUAUACAUAUUUAUGUAUUUAAAUAAAAUAAAUGAAAAUAUAGAUCAAAGGGUAAUAAAAUAAAAAAUCAUAAUAUAAGUUUAUCACAUACCUUUUUGUGAGAGAGAAGAGAGAAUAAUAUUUCUAUUUCUCUUAAUAGAGAAAAAUCUU
rnacentral:lncRNA from 1 species